UUAGGUAUCCCCGAGCACAAUUUAUCUCAUGUACUGUAUGAUCUAUGUAGGCUCUGCUCUGGGAUUGUCAUAUGCUCAAACUCGCAACCUUUUAACCCCCAUCACAAUACAUGCUCUCUGGAACUCAGGAGUGAUAUUGCUUCUAACCUUCCUUCAGGUAAACAUGAUGAAUAUCAAGUAUUGAAGUUAUGACCCUGUAUAAUCUUUCUCAACAAUGAUUUACUUUCAAUGUGGAUUACUAAAACCGAUCCUGCUUGUUUGUGUGACAGCUACAAGGGUACGAUAUCAAGGAAUUGUUGCAGACAACCUGAUAGGAGUUGAGUUUCUAUUUUAUUGAUGAUACAGAGCAUUUUCUAAGGGGUCCAUAAAAGUUACAAGCGUGUAAGGCCUGCAACUGUCUGCAGUUUAUACUUGAUCAUGCUUGGCCAUGGUUUUGGCCAUUUCGUGUUCAAAGAGCAAUAUCUCCAAUUCUAGGGCAAAAAUGCGGUUUUGGGUCCAAACAUAAGCCCCCCAGUUUUCAUGAAUUUGGGCAAAAUUUGUGAAAAUUAUAGCCCUUGAUAAAUCUGGAAUGUUCUAAUUCUCUUAACCAUGUAUAUGUCACAAGUUGGCUCCCUUUGGCAUAGAAAAUGAAACAUAAUUAAUGUGUUGGCUUAAUACCAUGUCUGAACAUAUGCCCAAGGCCAUAGAUGGUUUUGGCCGUUGCCAUAUCUUGGCAACCAUGAAGGAAAACUACAAACUGUAUUUUGGCAUUAUCAUGCCUUGGCCAAAGUCUCUAGCCAUUUUGUUUUGGCUUUCUUGUCUACCAUUUUCUUUUCUCAAUAAUUUUUUAUUUAUAUUACAGACAACGAAUACACGUAUUGUAGACAUACGUAUGUAUUCUUCAUGUUUAAUACAUGUAUUUGUUUACAAAAGUUUCACCUCUCUUUUGCAUGAAAUUGGGGCAUUUGUGAAUUUUUAAGCCCAAAAAAUUGAAAUUUUAGUUGAGUUUUUUAAUAAACAAAAUUUUAAAAAUUCAAAAAAAAGAAAAGAAAAAAAGAGACUCAAUAUUAUAUAGUGGCCAAAUUUUAUAUUUGUAUUUUGUAAAAUUUUUACCAAAUAAAACACGCACAUAUUUUAUUCAUACUUUUCUAUUUCUGUAUUUUACUAACUAGUGGUUCUUGAGAGAAAGGUUUCUCAAAAGCUGCAGAAAUCUCGUCGAUUUCAUGGAGGUAAGUUAGUUUUCAAUUCAUCCUUUUUUUAUUUUGGAUUUUUCACUCUGAUUAAGAUUAAUCAACCAAUCUCUAUUCAAUUUAAAAGUUUGGAUGUUAAUUAAUAUGGUUUGGUUGAUUGACGAAGGCGAUUAAUUUUCAACUUUUGAACUUAAAGGCGAUUAAUUUUCGCUAGUAUCUAGUCUGACACUAGAGGAAGGGAUUUUUUCUUUUUACAAAAAAGGGAUCGCUGCUUCUGCCGAGCCUGACUCAACUACCUUUCGUAGUAAGUAAGUAAAAAUUAUAUUUUGGAAAAAAAUUAUGAAAAAAGAGGUAUAAAAAGGAUAAAAUGGGUUGUGAAAAAUCACUGCUUAUCUUCGUACCAUUUGGGCCGGUAAAAAUAUUGGUAGCUGGUAAUUUCCAGACAGCCUGAGACGGGUGAAAAUUGCAGGGGACAGAAAAGAAAAAUGUUACGCUAAUUAUUGAACUCCCAUGGAAACUCGGGGGCUCUAUCAACGAUGAUAGAACUUCACCUUCCCAUCGCUUUCCCACUUCACCACUCCCUUACCGAUAGAUCUUCGAUCAGGUAAACCCGCCACGUCAUGGAAGCAGCUCUCUUAUGUUGUUAGUUUCCUAUUUGAGAAAAUGCAUGUAAGAUUAUGAUGAUGGGUCUCUACACACGACGGUAGAGAUAGAAUUAUUGUUACCGGAGAUGAGGACUAGAGGUAUAAUAGGGGCGUUGUUGAAAUCUUUUGGUCCAAGUGAGCAUGGCACUCGCCUUGUUCGUAAAGGAAGAAGGUUGGGUCGAUUUGUCAGACACAAAUUCUGGCUCUAGGGUGUUUCUCUUUGCAGCAAUCUUUUUGAUUUACGUGCUACUCUUCGGCCUCAACAUGCAUUUUCCUGGUAUGUUCAAAACUUGAACUUUCGUUUAUUUUCUUAUCUAAUCAGCUUGGUAUUAUAAUGGGAUAUUUACAGAUGUAGUUUAUUACUCAUUGCAGCUAAACUAGAAGGUAGUGGUCUAGUAUCCGUAUUUCAGCACGGCAAGAAAUUUUUGCCAUUUCAUGUUGUUGGAAGACCACCCAGAUGCAAGCAUUGUAAGUAGUGUAAGUGUGAAGUGUUAUAUUUUCAAUGUUUCAUAUCACAACCCUUGAGUUUAUUAUUGAUUUAGUGCUUAUGCAUAUGAAGAUGAUAAUGAUGUCUUUUUCUUUCUUGUUCGUUGGAUUGUACAAAGAUACAAAAUUUGCAAACCAGUUUAUCCCUAUGGCUCAUCCCUUUUGCCCCCUCCCAUAUAAUGAUUUUCCAAAUUUGCCUUGCGAGGUUGGGUUUUUGGAAUAAGUUGAGUAUCUUGUUGAACCUAAGGAAGUCAUGAACUUCACACUGUUUUCACUAGAGUUCAUUGACCAAGAGGGAAUACCUUCCCUUAGUAAUAUAUAUGAACCUAGAUUUGGAGGACAUCAGACACUUGAGGAAAGAGAGCAAUCUUUCUUUGCGAAGAAUCAAACUCUACAUUGUGGAUUUAUCAAAGGACCCCCUGGAUUCUCAAGCACUGGAUUUGAUAUAGAUGUGAAGGACAAGGCAUACAAGAACAAGUGUAAGAUUGCAGUAUCUUCUUGCAUUUUUGGAAGCUCUGACUUUCUUAGGAGGCCUACAAGCAAAAAGGUUAAUGAGCUAGUCUUUAUUGAACGUAUUUGUCUUCUCGUAUUCAUAUAAAGCAUAUAAUCAAAUGUUUUGGGUUAAAUAGUUAUUUUUCCUCUUUCUGUUGGUUCUGUAUGAAAUGGGAUGAUGCUAAAAGAACUUGCCAUCGUCCUGAUAUUUUGUUUGGCUAAUAAACAUUGAAGUUAGUAAUUAGACCCCUUUGUGUCGGACAAGAAAAUUAAUAGGUGUAGAGUUGAAGAUGACGAACCAAGUCCUCAGAAGAUGUAAAGUUUUCUUUCAGACAGCUCUUUUCAUUAGUUUAAUUUUACAUAAGGGCAGCGUGAUGACGAGGCAUUAGAGGGCUUCUCAUGAAGUAUGGAGAUAAAAAAGCAAUUAAGUGAAGUUGUUAUUCAUGGAGAGCUUUGGUGCUAUCUAUGGUAUCACUGCAGAUGAGUUUAAAGUAUGCUCUGAUUAAUGGCUGAGAUACCUGCUGGGAUGUUGAAGGUUGUGUAGAUGAUGUCUUAUUUUGCCGAUGACCUACUUUUGUUCUCAAUCAUCAUAUUGAUUAUAGAUUGAUAAAAAGCAUAACUCAGCACACUUUUCUUGCACAAGGAACAACUAGAUUAUUUUAUUAAGUUCAUUCUUUUUAGCAAUUUGCAUGCAUUUGUUGGCAUUCUAAUCAUGUAUUUUGAGUUUGUCGAGUUGAACCGUGUCCUGGCUGCAUAAUGCAGAACAUACAAUUGAAUGUUUUUUAGUGAGACAAAUUAUUAAUUGAACUACUUCUCUUUGUCAAAUUUUUUCAAGACUGUGAGUGCAGAGCACUAGUAAAGCAAUUCUGGCAUAGGGAAGAGCCAUCUCCUCCAGGACCUCCACCACUUGUUACUUGAUCAGUAAUUAUUCCUUGCAGUUAUUAUGGUAAACCAAAGCCCCGGACAUGGAGACUGAUCCUCCAAAGCAAACCAAAGCCACGGACAAGGAGACUGAUCCUCCGAAACAAACCAAAGCCACGGACAAGGAGACUGAUCCUCCGAAACAAUCCAAAGCCACGGACAUGGAGACUAAUCCUCCGAAGCAAGCCAAAGCCACGGACAAGGAGACUCAUCCUCCAAAGCAAUCCAAAGCCACGGACAUGGAGACUAAUCCUCCGAAGCAAGCCAAAGCCAUGGACGUGGAGACUGAUCCUCCGAAGCAAACCAUAGCAUCAUCUCAAGACCAUCUCCUCCAGGUCCCCAUCUCGUCCGAGGUAUUCUUCCACAUCCCUCGAUACCCAUUUGACUGCUUUUUCAUAUAAUUUGUUUCUUGAAAAAGAUUAUGUUUUUGCUUAUUUGAAGAAUUUAGGGCUUCCCUCUUGUCUGUUGAAAUCUGUAUAGAGUUCUUGAUCUGUAUGCACUCUUUCUGUUUGUAAGGUGUACCAUGAGACAUCCUGACAAAAAUCCUGGUCUUGAUCUGUAUGCAUUCUUUCUGUUUGUAUGCACUCUUUCUGUUUGAUCUGAUUACAAAAAUCCUCCACAAGCCAAUUCGUCCUGUGCCAUUCGUCCUGUACCAUCAGGAACAUUUCGCUCUGCUUUGUUCAUCCACAAACAUCACAAACUUCAUUUUUAAUCUUUUUUAAUUUUCUUUAUUUUUUUUAUCUCCAUACUUCAUGAGAAGCCCUUUAAUGCCUCUUCACACUGCCUUUCUGCAAAAUUAAACUACUGAAAAGUUCUAAUAGUCUGAAAAAAGAUAAAACUCUACAUGUUCUGACCUGGUUUUUUCAUAUGCUUUAAAAGAAUAAGAGUUCAAUAAGGACUAGCGCAUUAACUUGCUAGUAGGCCUCCUUAAAAAGUCAGAGCUUCCAAAAUUGCAAGAAGAUACUACAAUAGUACAGUCGUUUACGUAUGCCUUAUCUUUCACAUCUAAAUCCAAUCCGAGCUUGAGAAUCCUGGGGGUCCUUUGAUAAAUCCACAAUGUAGAGUUUUAUUUUUAUCACAGAAGGAUUGCUCUCUUUCCUCAAGUGUCUGGUGUCCUCCAAAUCUAGGUCUAACACUAUUUUCUUGAUAUGACUCUUUAUGUUUAUAAUAAUAUGUACCAUGAGUUGGUUAUUAGACUUUGUUUACUUGUGGUCUAUAUUCUUGGGAUAUGCACUGUUCCUGUCUUGUUCUUGCAUUAUGGAGUUUCCUUUAUUCAUGUUUCCGUUUUUAGAAUAUAUAAAUUUAUCCAUAUUGGAAAUUCUCCUCAGCUGGCUUCAAUUUUUGCACCUUUAUUGCAUUUUUAACAUAAACAAGGCAUGUUUAACAGGUCUCCUUUCUUGGGUGCAUAUUUGGCAAAUUGUGGGACCUAAUAUUCAAAGCUGAGGUAGUAAGUGGGUUAAUUGGGUUGUAUUUUGGGAUUUAGGGGCCCGGGUUGAGAAUUAGGGUUAAUUGAUUGCUUUGAUAGCCCCUCUGGUCUGUUGUCUUCAUAUGCUGCACUCUUUUAUUUGUUAUAUGUACCAAAAGUAGCUCUUUGAUUUAUUUUUAUUUUUUUUAAAAAGUAGCUGUCAAUCAAGCUAUUCCAGCAACCAUAUCCUCUCCUAAUGAAUCAUCAAAUCCCACCGAUUGCUACCCUGCUUGAUCUUGUGAAUCACACUUUGUAAUUUACCAAAUAUAGCCUGAUUGAAAGUCAACUAUAUUCCUUAUACAUUGUACAUCUGUAUCAAUGCAUGAAUCAAUGAAAAUGACAUUCUUUACAGUAGCAGAUAGAUACAGAGGGUUCUUGAUCUGAAUGCACUCUUUUUUGUCUUGUUUUUGGAAUUUAUAAAUUUAUCCAUAUUGGAAAUUCUCCUCGGUUGGCUUCAAUUUUUGCACUUUUUAUUGCAUUUUUAACCUAAACAAUGCAUGUUUAACACGUCUCCUAUAGCAGGUGAGGGCCAAUUGGAUGCAUGACCUUCCCAUGCACCUUCUUGAGAGCAUACUAUCAGACUUACCUGUAAAGGAAUCAGUGUGCACUAGCUGCAUGUGCAAAUCGUGGCAUGAUAAUUUGUGGAGUUUUGUUUCUGCAGAUGACACCUCUAAGUCUACUGAAUCAGACUUCAAAAAGUCACUGGAGAAACUUCUUCAGAAUCCGGCGUAUUUCCUUAACGUCAGGUUAAGAUGCACAAAAUUUAAAAGGCACUCCUUCCUGCAUGAGUUUCUUCGGGAACUGCUGAAAAAGAAAGUAAUCAACCUGGAAAUCGCAGUGGAUCGUCAUGAGAGUUUGGGAUUUUUCCCCAUCCCACCCGAAGUCUUUACAAGCAUGCAUCUUUGGGUCCUGAAGAUAGCAAGCGCCAGAAUUAUUCUGUCUCCUCCAGGGACUUUCACAAGGUUGAGCGCUAUACAAGUUGAUGUAUCUCGGUCAUCUCACGCAUCUAUCCUUGACUUCUACAAGUGGUGUCCGGUGCUCCAGGAUCUGCAAAUACAAGGAAAAAUUAUGAGACUUCCGGACAAAAAGCAGAAAUUCCAAAUAAGGUCUCAGAGUCUCCUUAGACUAAAAAUUACACUGCAUCUUCACAAGCUACAGCUUGAUAGAGGACAAAAAGUUUACCUUUCUGCUGGAAACCUCUAUGAGGUUGACAUUGAUGCCCCCCAACUAGAAGUUUUGGAUAUAGAUGAAUCAAUUUUUGCCAAGUUUAAGAUCGGAAAUUUCAAGCAUCUCCGAGAAGUUAAGCUUCAAAGUGGCUUCUACGAAGCUAAGAGACAGCUAGGAGAAGUGGGGGAGCUUCUCGUUCUUUCGCGAGGGGUAUUUUAUACGAUUAACCAAGCAUCAUUAUCUACUAGCUGCCUGGUUGUGGGAGAUGGAGCUUUUGGGGUAUGUUUUAGUUUAUAUUUUGUAUUUUCUGUUUUGAAUGAAAUGUAUGAGUUGUUAUUAAUUAGUGUGCUGAAUUUAUCUUUACAGGCAUUGAGUUUUACGUUUAUGGACUAUCUUCUUAGUGGUAAUGAAGCUGCGAUCCGGAACAAAUUUCGAAUGACAUUUCCAGAUUUCUAUCAUGUCACGAGCUUGAGAUUGUGUAUAGCAGAUUCUUCCGGUUGGCUGUUCAUGCCAUACUUGCUCGCACACCUUCCUAAUUUACAAAGAUUGGAUCUCGAAGUGGUAGAUAGGGAAGAAGUUCGAAAGGGCAAGAAAUUUAAGUGGAAUCCCCCAAAAGAUCAUGUGGGAUGGUGUUUGACAAGCGUUAAACACGUUCGAAUGAUUGGAUUUGGGGAAAUGAUGGAAGAAGCCAGUCGAAUAUUAGAUUUUGUGAGGGAGGCUGCUACCGAAGAACGCUUUGAAGAAAUUACCAUCACCUAUGAAUAAUGGCCACAUGCUAUUAGAAGAUGAAGCAGACUGGAUUUUCACAGCCUGAGAAAGUGAACAGGGAGAACUGAUCAUGAGGAAACACAAAUCUAUAUUGAUUGUACCAGUAUUAUUAGGGAACCUCACUGCUUGCAUAGUUUGUUGUGCCUUAUUCUUUUGUUUUCUUCUUCAAAUGAGUUUUAAAACUUAGUUGUGGAAUUGAGAAUUCAUCUAUCGAGACAAAAUCUGACAGCAGCUUCAAUUUGGUUUGAGCAUCUGAUAUGGAGCAACUGUUAUGGGGGCUUACUUGCUCAUUUAGUCUCAAUUUCACUAAAUUGUUUUCCAGUUUCUGUUCAUGCUGUAAUGAUCAACAUUCUGGUGGGGUCAUAUUAUUCGAUCUCUGGUUAAUAAAUUCUCUGGUUUUUUUGUUUACAGCUCAAUAAUUUACGGAUAAACUAGACUUGUGUUGUGUGUCUGAGAUUUAUCAUGCAUGUGUUCCGAAUCUCAAGCAUUUAUGGCCCAACAACCUUCUCUGUCUUGAAUUACAUCUUCACCUCAUCGACGUGCACAAUUGCACAUGCUUGUCUCCUUACCUCUACUCUGUCUUCUCAUGCCAUUGUGUUGUGUGUUUUGUAACUUAUUAUUUACAUCCUGACAAGAAAAUUGGAAUGUUUCUAAGACUAAAAUCUACUCUGUGCCCAACAACAACACACAUAUUGCAAAAGAAUUACUGCUAGAAAGUUAGAAACUUUCUCUGCAAAACAGUCCCUUCGUAUUAUUGUUUUGUUCAUUUGGGCUUGGUUCUAGGAAUGAAAUGAUAAAAGCUGCUAAAAAAGUGACUGUUGUUGCAGUGUGCCUGCUAUUUUUCUACAUCCAAAAGACUGGUCCAGGUUUUUGAAAUAGAAGGCACAAAAUGGUCCAGUGUAUUUAUAAGGUAGUUGCAGAUUCUGACUGAAGCAGCCUGUACAUCCAAUUAUGUUCUGGCUGGCCCCCUUCAUGGUUGAACUAUUUUUUUGGAACUUAUGGAAUCUUUCUAGCCCCUGGAGGGUCCCUAAAGUAAAGCACUUUAUGUGUGAUUAUUGAGUUACAGAAUUAUAAUGUUGCUUCUUCUAAUAAAAAAAAGGAAAAACAAAUCCAUCCCUGAUGGACCUGACGGGGGAGCUUUCUGUUCAUACAAUUUCUCUGCUCCAUUUUGUUUCUAUAAAAUUUUGAGGCAUGUGAAGGAUGAAACAAGCAUAAAAGAGUUGUUAACUGUUUAACUCGUGUAUGGUAGUUUAAUUAGUUGAAUGUGCUUUCCUUUUUUACAGCUUACACAGCCGACAAUAAAAAAGGAUGUGGUCAUUAAGUGCCUAGAGCUUUCUAAAUUUGGUAUAUAUCACCUCAGAUGCGGUCCUCAGAGGAAAUAUGGACAAGAUGUUUGACAACUCAAUCAUGUUAGGUUCCAGUUUUGAGUUGCUUCUUUGUGAAGCGCAUUGAAAGUGGAGUGUUAAGGGCCUCAGGUUUGGAUCACAAAGAUACAAGAAAAAGAAAGCUAGAUUUGUAGCCUUCUAAGGAUGUCAUGGCGGAGGAAGGAAGCAUUUGAAAACUGAAAAGUUACUUUCCUAUUCACGUCUGAAGAAAGGUGCCUCUCUGCACACUUGAGUCAAAGCCUGUCAAAUUAUUAGGGGACUUCUCAGCUUGAAACCUUGUUGCUGGCACGAAUGAUUCUGGCCUGCUGUGGCGCAUCAUCUGUUGGUCGAAGUUGGUCUUCUCAUGAUGAUAUGUUUUGUGGGCAUCUCCUGCAACUUUGACAGAUUUUUGGCUCUUACAACCCAAUAGAAACUAGGGACGAUGCCUUGGAAUAUCUUCGUUCAUUCUUGCUUUGGCAUUUCUGGUGUUGUUUGGAACCAUUUUCAUUGGACUUGGCCUGGCUGAUCUUCACAUUCUGACAUCAGAGAGAAAUCAGCAACACUGGCAGUGACCACACUCCACUCUAUGCUUGCCUCACUUGGGGCAUAACAAGUUGUUGGGGUCAUGCAACCAGAUGUUGCAGCAUCUGAUGCCUGCCUUGCAAGAAAAGGGUUGGCUUUGCCUGUCAGGCUCUCUAUCUCAAAAAGAUCUGAACUUGCAUCACUAUCUGACUCAUUAUUGUAGAUCACUCCACCAGAGUUUGCAGGAAACUCAUCCCAAGGCAGCAUUGAAAACAACCAAGGACAGCUACAAUGGCCUACCUCUCUAAAAGACCAACUUUAAGUAUUACAUCACCUAGGUUUUAGUUAGCCUUCCCAACAAGUUGAAGGAGCUUCUUUUUAUGUAUUGUGAAAGUUCCAGUUUUCUACAUGCCACGAUUUAUAUCCGCAAACUCUUUAACCAUCCCAUCAAUCAACCGAGAGAGAGAGAGAGAGAGAGAGAGAGAGAAUAGAGAGAUUUAGAUUGCAAUAAUCUGCCAUACAAGUUCUCCAGAGAAUUUGAAAUGCAGCAGUGCUGGUUUAUGUAAAAAGCAAGAUAGAAACACAACGCUGUAUAAGAAUGAGCACAUACCUCUUCAUACGGUGGAAAAAAUAGCAAAUAAACAAAGAAUAGCUAGCUGAUUGGCAGACUAACCUGAGGAGUUCCUAAACUACUGAUUCAGGAUAACAUAUUUAAAAUUUCUUAAAGCAAAUUAGUAUAAAAAUCAGUCCAAAAUCCCUCUUAUUAUUGCUCAAAGAAGAAAAAAUGAAUGCAUCGAACUGCCUAAUGCCCCAAAGAUGAUUUCUUUAUAUCUAUAUAUCAUGAGAUGAGACUUGCAGAAUAUCUGAAGAAGGAAAUUUAAUUACAACAAGAACUUCAACAGUGUUGAAGAAUUCACAUUUGACAGCAAAUAAUUGGAAAGAAGAGACCGGUCACUUAUGUUAUGGCGACCGAUCCGAUUUGUGAAUUCAGAGCAUAGAAUAGAAGGAUUGAAUUGAGACAACGACUAGCAAAUAGUCAGCAUGUUGAAAACAAAAGCAUAAAGAAAUGUUCAUUAAGGAAAGUCAUUAGCUAGAAGAAAAGAAACUAUAUGUAAUGUAUCUUCAUUUGCUACACCUACAGAUGAGUGAAAUAUUUCAAGAAAUACGUUUGUUUGUUUUGUAAUUAUCAUCAGAGUCGGAGGAGAGAGAAAUAAAUUAAUGUUCCUUAUGAUUGAUACAGGACAGGUGGACAAAUUGGCUUGUGGAAGAUAGUCAUAGUUUUAGUUUAGUAGUGAAGAAUUUACCAUUCUGCACUGGCAGGCAUUUUGUUAUCAGUAAGUAAAUAUUAGCUUUUCCUUUCUUCUGGAAUCUAUAUAUAGAUAUGAUCUUCUUAUAUGCAGACUACGUUCCUGAAGGUUCAGGUUCAGGUUCAUUCAUAUUCAUAUCAUAGUGCGGGCAGGCAGGCAGACAAUUUCAAAUUUUAUUAUUUUCAUGCGUUGCCUUAACUUUCUUUUGUUAAUUAAUAUUCUUUCCUUUCCAGGACUAGCAAAAGCUUUCCGUCAUAGCUAUACCUGUUAUGUUACUUGAUUAAUGGUUGUUUUGUUAUAAUAAUUAAUGGUUUAUUAUGCUGGUAAUGUAAGGUUAAUUUGAUGCUUCUGUUCUGUGUGCCUGUGGUUUUUGUUUCCUUAUUUUUCAGCUUUUGUUUGUGCAUUUGCAGUUGCUGUGGGAGGUGAUCGAUUAGAUUACAUCUUAAUGACUACGUGAUGCAGAGCAGACAUGUGUUGAAUGAGGACCAUUACAUUUACAUUACUAGUCUAGCAGUUUAGGAGUUAUUUUCCUAACUAAAAUAGUAAACAAAAAUUGCUUUUACUGUUUAGAAUUAGUGGUUUCAACUCGUCAUCAGGUCAAAUACAUAAGAAUAAAAGAAAGAAUAAGUGUCACGUCAAUAAUUUCGAAGUACCAGAUGAGAGGUCCGGGGGGGGAGUGGUGGUGGUGGGUGCUUUUGGGGAGGGGAGGGGAAUUAAGAGGAAGAAGAGGAGAUGUAUUUUUUUAAAAAUAUUUCCAUUUUCCGUACACUUCUUAAAACUCAAUAAAAUACACGUUUUCUAAAAAUCAAAUAUACAAUACACGUAUUAUAAAUGUACAUAUUUAUUCUUCACGUUUAAUACACGUGUUUUUUAACAACAGUUUCACUCUUUUUCAAUGAAAUUGGACCAUUUGUGAAUUUUUAAACCCAAAAAUUUGAAAUUUUAGUUGGAUUUUGUAAUAAACAAAAUUUUAAAAAUUAAAAAUAAAUAAAUAAAUAUUAUGUAGCAGCCAAACUUUUCAUUGAAUAAUGUUGAAUAGAAGAAAAGAAAAUUCAAAAGCAACGAAAGCAAAGACACAAAAUUUGGUUGGGUCGGGACGCAUUCAGCUUCACCCAACACGACGCGGAGGAGACUUUACGCCCGCCAUAACAUAAGUUAAGCAGGCACAAAAACUGCAACUGCGGGCAGGCAGGCAUCGGCGGACAAGACCCACUGAUGAGGGAGGUUGAGGUUGGGUACGGAUCCAAUGAGUUUAUCGGUAGCGGAGCAACAAGACCCGGUGCUGCUCCAUUACGUCGAUGCAGCAUCUCAAAAGUUUGCAGAAAGCUCGUCGAUUUCAUGGAGGUAAGUUAGUUUUCAAUUUAUCCUUUUUCUAUUUUGGAUUUUUCACUCUGAUUAAGAUUAAUCAACCAAUCUCUAUUCAAUUUAAAAGUUUGGAUGUUAAUUAAUAUGGUUUGGUUGAUUGACGAAGGCGAUUAAUUUUCAACUUUUGAACUUAAAGGCGAUUAAUUUUCGCUAGUAUCUAGUCUGACACUAGAGGAAGGGAUUUCCUAAUUGUUUCUUUUUACAAAAAAACCGAUAAGAUUUUAAUUAAUUCCUUUAAUUCUUAUUAGGAUUUCCUUGUUGAUGUUGGAAAAUGGUUUCCUUAUUCUCAACGGAGAUUUGUUUUCAAUGCCUUUUCCUUGUUGAUGUUGGAAAAUGGUUUCCUUAUUCUUAAAGGAGAUUUGUUUUCACUGUCUCCUUGUUAUAAAUAAUUCUCCUCAUCAUCAACUACUAUCUAGCAAAGCAUUCUGCAUCACAAGCAUACAAUUAUACCCUGCUGCAGUUUCUUUCUUUUUUCUUCUCUGUUCUGGUUUUGCCUUUUCCUUGUGUUUUGAAUUCAAAAUUAAAGUUUCAUAGCAAAGAAUUCAUUUUAUGUCCACUUUUAAGUUUGAUAAGGACCCCUGUCGUCAUAGGACCACGGCUGUCAGCUUCAGCAAUGGGGAAUGGGCAAGUUAUCCAGCACUAGUCUUUUUGAUUCUGGAUAAGUUAUUAGAACCCAUUGACAAUGUCCGUUUUGCUGCCGUCUGCAAGAAGUGGCAUUCUAUGUCCAAAGUCUAUAAUCAGGCAACGCAGCGGUGGCACAACAAACAACUUCUCCCCAUGCUCUUGAUCCCAAACCAGGACAAAGACAACGACCGAAGAGUAUUGUACAGCAUUUCUGAAGGAAGAAUCUACAACAAUAUUCAACUACAAGUUCCUUUUAAGAGGAGGUGUAGUGGCUCUUGCCAUGGCUGGUUUGCCACAGUUGAUCCAACAGACCAAGGUGUAGUGACCGUAACACUCAGGAACCCUUUCACAAAAGCAAAUCCGAUUUGUCUCCCUCCCUUGAAUGCCCAUGUCUCAGUUUAUCAACCAUCCUACUAUGAGCAUUAUGUUCCUAAGGUUAUCUUGUCCGCUGACCCCACUCAGAAUCCGAAGAAUUAUGUGGUUGUAGCACUUUACCGUUGCUGGUUUGAGUUGGCUUUCAUCAAGGCAGGCCAAAACGCUUGGACCUACGUCAACCCUGCUGCAAUUUCAUAUGGUGAUGUUAUAUUCUAUAAAAGCCAAGUGUAUGCAGUUACAUCAUUUGGAGCUAUUGGGUCGUUGGAUGUUUAUGGUACUGAUAGUAAUAACCCUUCACAACCACCAUCGAUAAAGCUACUCACACCUCGAAAGCCAUUCCGGUCUUAUUGUUUUCAUGCAUAUCUUGUGGAAUCAACUAAGGGAGACUUGUUGCAUAUACUAAGAUAUUAUGUGCCAAAGGACGGUGCUUAUAGGUUUCGUAAUAGACAGACUGUGGGAUUUGCGGUUUACAAGUGGGUGUUGAACGAUGAAGAAGAUGGAGGUUCUAUUGCGCACAAGGUUGAGGUAAAAAGCAUUGGAGAUGAGGCUCUGUUCGUGGGCGACAGUCAUUCAAUCUCUGUUUUGGCUUCAAACUUUCCUGGAUGUCAGCCAAAUUCCAUAUAUUACACCGAUGAUUUCCUAUCAACUUCUCCUUUGUCAGAUGGUGAUGAAGCAAAUGAUAUGGGGAUCUUCAACUUGGAGGACGGAACCAUCACACAACAUUACUCAGUGAAAACCAAUACUCAGAGAGCUAUUUGGGUUGUGCCACCUUUUAAUGGACUAUGUUAGUCUAGCCUCUAAAUCAUCUUACUAUUCAUUGAGCGUUUCCUUGACAAGUUAGGAUGUUUUUGUAGGUUUUUGCUUUAUUUAUUACUGUGUGCCAAUUGAGUUUUAUUUAUUUAUUUAAAUUUAAAUACAGUGUGAAUGUACUAUUUUACCCCGAUUUAAUAAAGUGUCUUAUGUUUAGUAUUUUCAUUAAUCAAGGGCAAUAGUGGGGAUUUUGAAUAUUUCUCUUUUAAGACUUCCAGCUUUAUAUAUAUAUAUAUAUAUAUAAAGAGAGUUUGGGCAUGUCUUUACAUAUAUAUAUACUACUGGCGGGGGAAGGGGAUUUUUCUGCCUUGAUGUCUGUUGAAAAGGGAUCUAUCUCUUGUUGGCUCUACUGUAGAAGUGGUUUCUGUUGAAUGAAGGCAAUAACAAUUAUCACUGAAUUAAGUUAAAAAAUCAACAUGACAAACAACAAUUUAGACACAUCAAGCAUUCUAUUAAUCUGAUGGACAAAGGUAUAAGCUCAAUUUAUUUAAUUAAUUGAUAACAAAUUUAGAACCAUGACAAUUUAUUAAAUAGGCAAAAAAAUAAAUUGCAUAAACUACAAUUUAAAUACGCCAAGCAUUGUACGAAUCUGGUGGACAAAAGUAUAAAUUCAGUCAUUGCACAAAUUAUUAAAUACCUAUAACAUAAUGAAACCAAAAGAUCCAAACUUUAAUAAAAUCAAACCAAAUACCCAUAAACCUUGCCUAAGUUUGUCGUACAGAAGCAUAGAAAAUCUAUAGACACCUAUGGUCAAAACUGAUACAUAUAUUGCCAUUUAUAGACCAAGUUAAUCCAAUGAGGAAGUAAGCUGAUAUAGUACAAAAAUAAACUGUAUUGCCAUUUAUGUCACAACACCUACAAAUCUUAGUAGAAUAACACUUGGUUCCACUUGAAAUUUGUAGCAGAAUACCUACAACUCAAUAGAAUAACACUUGGUUCCACUUGAAAUUUGUAACACAAUACCUACAACUCAAGAAAUAUAAAAUGAUGUGAUUAGCCUAUAUGGUAGAUUGCAGAAUUAAUGAUAAGAGUUGAUCAAUAGGACUUGCAGAAUUAAUGAUAAGAGUUGAUCAAUAGGACUUGUGUUAACUGUGAGAAAUUAAUUUUCAAGCACAUACAUAGGUUAAAAUCAAGUUUGUAACAAAUUAUUAAAAAUGGUAUAAUAGCAGUUGGCUAUGACCAAAUUUAAAAGAAAAAUCCUUAAAAAAGGAUGAAAUUGUUGAAGUUGUUGGAAUCUCUAGCUGUUACUGAUAAGGUUUACUGCUAGGAUUCCUAGUUUUUAGGUUUGUUAAUCACGUAGGAGUCCAAUAAUCCCUAUACUUGAGGGACAAGCUUGUAUUUCUGUUUUGAUGUAGUCUUUACCACGAUUAUAGGACCUGUAAAAUCGUGGGCUGUUGCAUUUUCUUUCAGUUCAAGUGUAAGGCUAUUUAAUAGCCAUGUUAGAUGUUUUUCAUUUGAUAACAAGAAUUCUCCUUAGCUUAUGUAAGUUCUAAUUACAGAAGCUCUUUGCAAACUUCCUGAUUCUAACAUUUGGUAUCAGAGCCUAGUUACGGGGCCUGAUCAAAAGCUUGCAACCUAGGUGCUAGAGUGAGGAAACAAAAGCAUGGCGUCUGAGAAUAGUUUUGUGCAACCAGCCAUUCCAAGGUUUGAUGGACACUAUGACCAUUGGAGUAUGCUAAUGGAGAACUUUCUUCGUUCCAAAGAGUAUUGGAACCUGGUGGAGAUUGGGAUCACUGCUGCAGCAGGGGGAUCGGAUUCCAGUGAAGCACAGAAGAAGAUUUUAGAUGAACUGAAGCUGAAGGAUUUGAAGGCCAAGAACUAUUUGUUCCAAGCCAUAGAUCGGUCAAUAUUGGAGACCAUUCUGAAGAAGGAUACCGCGAAGGAUAUAUGGGACUCCUUGAAACAGAAGUAUCAAGGAACUGCACGUGUCAAACGUGCUCAAUUGCAGGCUCUUCGCAAGGAGUUUGAGGUACUGCACAUGAAGAAUGGAGAAACAGUCAAUGACUAUUUUGGGAGAACACUUACCAUAGCCAACAAGAUGAGAACUCAAGGGGAGAAGAUGGAUGAUGUGGUGAUCAUUGAGAAAAUUUUGAGGUCCAUGACUUCGAAAUUCGAUUAUGUUGUCUGUUCGAUUGAGGAAUCUAAUGACCUGGACAUCCUAUCUAUAGAUGAACUCCCAGAGUAGCCUUCUCGUGCACGAGCAAAGGAUGAGUCGACAUGUAGUGGAUGAGCAAGCACUCCUAGUCACUUAUGGAGUCCAGCAAGGAGGACGAGGUCGAGGAACUUAUCGAGGAAGAGGAAGAGGACGGGGUAGGCAAGGGUUCGACAAGUCAACCUUAGAAUGCUAUAAUUGCCAUGAACUAGGGCACUUUCAGUGGGAGUGUCCUAGGAAACCUAAGGAAGAGAAAGCGAACUAUGUGGAGACAAAGGAAGAGAUGCUGUUGAUGGCACUUGUGGAAUCCAAGGAAGCAACAAUGGAGCACAUAUGGUUUCUCGACUCUGGGUGCAGCAAUCAUAUGUGUGGGAAGAAAGACAUGUUUUGUGAGCUUGAUAGCAGUUUCAAAGAAUCCGUGAAGUUGGGUAACAAUUCGAGUUUGACUGUGCAAGGCAAGGGAAAUGUGCGAAUGGAGGUGAAUGGCAUUAUACAUGUGAUCACAGGUGUUUUCUACGUACCAGAUUUGCAAAAUAAUUUGUUAAGCAUUGGUCAGUUGCAAGAGAAGGGACUUACAGUACUCAUUCAACAUGGAAGGUGCAAGAUCUUUCACUCUGAGAGAGGUUUAAUCAUGGAGACCAAGAUGAGUCACAAUAGAAUGUUUGCAGUGUUGGCCCGCUGUUCACCAAAGGAACAAAAGUGUUUUUCCUCGCUCACCAUAGAUCAAGCACAACUUUGGCACUGUCGCUAUGGGCAUCUCAGUUGGAACGGGCUUAAAGUGCUUCAACAGAAGCAAAUGGUAGAAGGAUUGCCUCAGUUCAUAGCCUCUCAAAGGGUGUGUGAAGAUUGCUUGGUAGGAAGACAGCACCGAGAUCCAUUUCCCAAAGAAAGCUUAUGGAGAGCUUCCAAGGUACUUCAGUUGGUGCAUGCUGACAUCUGCGGACCAAUUAAUCCUACUUCGAACAGUAAUAAAAGGUAUCUCAUCACCUUUAUAGAUGAUUUCAGCAGAAAAACAUGGGUCUACUUCUUAGUAGAGAAAUCAGAAGCAUUUGGUACAUUCAAAUUCUUCAAAUCACGGGUAGAGAAAGAAACUGGAGCAUUUAUAAGAAGCCUGAGGACAGAUAGAGGAGGAGAGUUCACCUCACAUGAGUUUACAAAUUUUUGUCAUGAGAAUGGGAUUCACAGGCAGCUGACUACAGCCUAUUCUCCCCAACAGAACGGUGUUACAGAAAGAAAGAAUCGCACUAUCAUGAACAUGGUGCGAAGCAUGUUGUCAGCAAAACAAAUUCCCAAAACCUUCUGGCCUGAAGCAGUAAAUUGGACAGUGCAUGUGUUGAAUCGAUGCCCUACCCUUGCCGUGAAGAACAAGACACCUGAGGAGGCUUGGAAUGGACACAAACCAUCUGUGGAUCAUUUCAGGAUUUUUGGCUGCAUUGCUCAUGUUCACGUACCUGAUACCAAAAGGGUGAAGCUUGAUGCCAAGAGCUGUAAGUGCAUACUACUUGGGGUAAGUGAGGAAUCUAAGGCUUAUCGAUUGUUUGAUCCUGUUUUACAGAAAGUAAUUAUCAGUCGAGAUGUUGUGUUUGAAGAGGAUCAACAAUGGAGUUGGAAUGACAGUCACAAGGAAGCUAUAGUGGCAGAUCUUGAGUGGGAUUCAGAUGAAGAAAAUAGCACACAAAGGGAGGAAAGUGACGAAUCUGGAACUGAUGAAGUUGUGGGAGAGACUGAAUCUGAGUCUGACANNNNNNNNNNNNNNNNNNNNNNNNNNNNNNNNNNNNNNNNNNNNNNNNNNNNNNNNNNNNNNNNNNNNNNNNNNNNNNNNNNNNNNNNNNNNNNNNNNNNNNNNNNNNNNNNNNNNNNNNNNNNNNNNNNNNNNNNNNNNNNNNNNNNNNNNNNNNNNNNNNNNNNNNNNNNNNNNNNNNNNNNNNNNNNNNNNNNNNNNNNNNNNNNNNNNNNNNNNNNNNNNNNNNNNNNNNNNNNNNNNNNNNNNNNNNNNNNNNNNNNNNNNNNNNNNNNNNNNNNNNNNNNNNNNNNNNNNNNNNNNNNNNNNNNNNNNNNNNNNNNNNNNNNNNNNNNNNNNNNNNNNNNNNNNNNNNNNNNNNNNNNNNNNNNNNNNNNNNNNNNNNNNNNNNNNNNNNNNNNNNNNNNNNNNNNNNNNNNNNNNNNNNNNNNNNNNNNNNNNNNNNNNNNNNNNNNNNNNNNNNNNNNNNNNNNNNNNNNNNNNNNNNNNNNNNNNNNNNNNNNNNNNNNNNNNNNNNNNNNNNNNNNNNNNNNNNNNNNNNNNNNNNNNNNNNNNNNNNNNNNNNNNNNNNNNNNNNNNNNNNNNNNNNNNNNNNNNNNNNNNNNNNNNNNNNNNNNNNNNNNNNNNNGAGCCUGGUAUAGUCGUAUAGAGUCAUAUUUCAUCAAGGAAGGAUUCAACAAGUGCCCUUAUGAGCAUACUCUGUUCAUUAAGACAGCAGAAGGAGGUAAGAUCUUGAUAGUGUGUCUUUAUGUUGAUGAUCUCAUUUAUACUGGUAAUGAUGCAACAAUGUUUGAACAAUUUAAGAAGUCUAUGAUGGUUGAGUUCGACAUGACAGACCUUGGAAAAAUGAGAUAUUUCCUUGGCAUUGAAGUGAUACAAGGUUCUGAUGGGAUCUUUAUCAGUCAACGAAAGUAUGCUCAAGAGGUCUUGGAGAGAUUCAACAUGGCUCAAUGUAAUUCAGUACUCAACCCUGUGGUUCCUGGUUUUAAACUCACAAAGGAUGAAGGAGGAGUCGAAGUUGAUAGCACUGUUUACAAACAGAUGGUGGGAAGUCUCAUGUAUCUAACAAGCACACGUCCUGAUUUAAUGUUUAUUGUUAGUUUGAUCAGCCGGUACAUGGAACGUCCAACUGAGGCUCACUUGCUGGCAGCAAAAAGAGCUUUCAGGUAUGUAAAAGGGACUAUUGAUUUGGGGAUAUUCUACAAGAAGGGAGGAAAGGAUGAGCUUAUUGGGUAUACAGACAGCGACUAUGCUGGCGAUCAAGAUGAUAGGAAGAGCACCUCAGGUUAUGUGUUUAAACUAAGUUCAGGUGCUAUUUCUUGGUCCUCAAAGAAACAGCCAGUUGUCACUUUAUCCACCACUGAAGCGGAAUUCAUAGCAGCAGCAUCGAGUGCAUGCCAAGUUGUUUGGUUAAGAAGGAUAUUGAAGAGUCUUAAUCAGGAGCAAUAUAGUCCAACCUUGGUGUAUUGUGAUAAUGUUUCAACAAUCAAACUCUCAAGGAAUCCUGUGAUGCAUGGUCGCAGCAAGCAUAUCGAUAUAAGGUUUCAUUUCCUUCGAGACUUGGUCAAGAGUGAAGUUUUAGAGUUGGUCCAGUGUUCAACUCAGGAACAAAUUGCAGAUGUCUUAACGAAACCAUUGAAGGUCGAUACAUUUCUGAAGAUGCGAGAUUUGAUGGGUGUUUGCAAGUUUCCAGGAGUAAACUGAAUAUCUGUGGUAUUCAGUUUAAGGGAGGAUGUUGAAGUUGUUGGAAUCUCUAGCUGUUACUGAUAAGGUUUACUGCUAGGAUUCCUAGUUUUUAGGUUUGUUAAUCACGUAGGAGUCCAAUAAUCCCUAUACUUGAGGGACAAGCUUGUAUUUCUGUUUUGAUGUAGUCUUUACCACGAUUAUAGGACCUGUAAAAUCGUGGGCUGUUGCAUUUUCUUUCAGUUCAAGUGUAAGGCUAUUUAAUAGCCAUGUUAGAUGUUUUUCAUUUGAUAACAAGAAUUCUCCUUAGCUUAUGUAAGUUCUAAUUACAGAAGCUCUUUGCAAACUUCCUGAUUCUAACAUUACCAAACUUUCAUUCAAAUCAAGAAACACAAAUAAAACAUUUUGGACAGAAAUUUAACUACUUUGAGCAUAAUAUUCUGGGACAAUAAGUAAACAAAAAGUUUCGAACAAAAACAGGAAAAAUAAAUAAAUAAAUAAAUAAAUUUCAAUCUUGUCUAGCUUGCAAAGAACCUCCUUCUACUCAUAGCCUCUUUUGGAUUCUCUUGUACACUGUUAACAUCUUGCAAAAACUGAAAAGCCACAAAAAGAAAAUAAAUGAAAAUCACCACAACCUCAACUAAAAACACCAAAUGAACUAAUGCUUUCUAAUGAACACAUUGUAGUCCAUGAAACCCAAGAAAAAUGUCAAAUUAUGACCAAAUAAAUCCAGCAUAUUUUCCUUCUGACAGAAUAGCAGGAAACAAAACAAUCACUUUACCUAUGGAAGCAUUUUGUGGAAGGCAUUGAAAUGAAUGGGAUCUAAAUCACAUGGAGUUCUAUCAAUAUUAAAUAGCACUGCUUCAAGUGGAGCAAGUCCAAAGAGGGAACUUUUGCUGGUUCCAGAGACACAUCAUAGAAGGGAAAAAAAAAAGGCAACGAGGCAUUAGCACAACAAAAGAAUGAAAUCAAAAAAAUACAAAUGUAACAUUUGCACCACCUGUUUCUCUGUAACUGAUCUUUCAUCUUUUCAUUGCUAAGCAACAUGAGAUGAUACCAAACAUAUAUAUACUUUUGAAUAGUUGUGAUAACUUAUUUAACUACUUUAGGCAUAAUAUUCCGGGAGAAUAAGUGAACAGAAAGGGACCAUUUUCCCCCUUGUCUAGCCUGCAAAGAACCGCCUUCUACUCACAGCCUCCUCUUGACGCUCUCAUACACUACUAUCAUCUUGCAAAACCUAAAAAUCACAAAAUGAAAUUGAUCACAAUCUCAGCUAAAAACAUCAAAUGAACACAUUGUACUCCAUCGUUAAACCCAAUAAAAAGGCCACAUAAUGUGUAACCGCUAUUUCUUAAUAUAAGCUCUCCAUAUACGUAUAUUUCACAAAUUUAAGUAAGAGAAAAGAACUGUAAAUCUGUUUGAAACUGAAAAGAAAAGAAAACAAAUUAUCAUCCCUGCAUAUAAGAAUAAGAAAAGAAACAGUGCAACAAAACUAUGGAAAAAUAUUUAAUCCCAUAAGCAUAAACUCAAUUUAGUUUACCAAAAUUAAUGCAUGCAUACAUUAUUUUGGAGCAAAGAUGUCUUGAAUAUUGAUUUUCUUUUCUAAAGAGAAACGAUAUAUUGAAAAGGUGGAUAAGGCAUCCGCAACCAAACAGACAAAACACAGAAACAACCCAAAAAGGCCAAAAAAAAGAAAAAGAAAAGAAGCGUCAUCAACAAUUACUCAUUUAUGAACAGAGAUUGCAAAAAAUAAAACUUGUUUUCUAUUUUUUCUAAGCAAAUCAGUUGAAAAUAAAAUAUCAGAAGCAGGAUUGGUCCCUGAGAACCAAUAGACUUGAAAAUCAAAUAUGAAAAGCAACAUUGGUCCCUGAGCACGCUUUUAUGCGUCAAUUUUUGGUUGAUUAGUUCAUUAGCUUUAAUAUAUCAACUUUUGAUCAAGACUAACUACUUGGCUUUUUUAACAUCAUUCAUUAUAAUUGAUUAAUGAAUUAAUACAACUGUUUUUAUGAAUUUUCACAUCAUUCACACAUAUCAAAAGCAACAAUCAAAGGCUGAGAUAGCUCGAAUACCUCAGUUGCAAUGAAUCAAAAAGAAAAGCAUAGAAAAUAAACUAUGCAAGCAAUAAAAUCCUAGAAAGACGGUGCCUAAACAAAUUAUACUAAUAUAAUCAAUAACAAUUUUCCAUUUUUUCCUGUAAAGUAAAAAACGGAGAACUUCAAAAACUCAUCUGAGUUCUCAUUUAUAAUCUCGACCCUCAAUUGAUCAAAUAUAUAUAUAUAUAUAUAUAUAUAUAUGCAGAGUCAUCCUGAACAAAUCGUGUUGCCCAUCAAAUCAUCUGAGAAUGAAACGAAAACCCUAACCCUAGAAAUUGAUGUUUGUUGAACAUGGCUUUCUGCUUAUGUUUUAUUUUACAACAAACAAAAGAAAAUCAUGUCCAAGAUAUUGUAAUCACCAACAUGCUCAGAUAUUGUAAUCAUCUAAUCCUAUCAUUACAACAACAAAUUAACUACCCAUUACAGCAGCAAGAUCAUCACAAAUUGUUGAAAUUGGCAUGCUUACUUUCCCACAACUACAAUAUUGACCACAACAGAUCAUCACAGCAGCAUAAUCAAUUUGGUCAAGGAAUCAAAGGAUUCGACAGUAUGCUCAGAAACCCAUCAGAAAAUCAUUAAUCCGUUAAAAAGUUGAGGGGAUGCAAACCUGAAGAGAAACAAUGGAAGAACUCGUAGAUCGAAAAUCUAUCAGACAAACGUUGGACAGAGGAUGAAAGAACUUGCAGAUUGAAAAUCUCUCAGACGAACUUUGGAAUGGCUGAACGAACGACAGAUGAGAUGAGAUGAAGACUAAACGAACGGUGAGAUUCGCAAAGCGCCAUCCCAAAUGGAAAUCGACGCCUCAAACGAAUCCCGAAAACCGAAGCCAUGGGCCCAACCAGCCUAACCAAGCUGGUUGGAAGCUAACGAUCGCUCUGUAGAAAAGUAACAGUGGGGAGAGUUAGCAUCCAAAGAGAGGGGAAAAAAGGGAACAUCAGGAAAAAAAUUUAAAAGGGCAAAAUCGACAAUUUACUGUAUUGUUGGGAAAAUAUAAGGCUUUGUAACAGUGAAACGGGAGUUUUUCUGGCAUUUCACUGUUCAAGGAACAGUGCUUAUGAAUAGUAUCUGGUUAUAUAUAUAUAAUUUUCCCAACUAAAAUACUAUAUACACUAAAACUCAAUCCAACUAAUCAUUGUAGCUAAGCACAGUGAAUUUACGAAAAUACCUUUAUUUUUAACUGUUCAACCAGCUCAUUUUCUUCCCUUGCACAGUAAGAUCACGGUUUUACCCUUGGCUGAUUGUUUUAUAUUUUCCCCGUUUUGCCCCCUAUUUCCUUCGGAUCUAACUAUGCGACUGUUUCUUCUUAAGAGGAGUAUGGUUCGAUUUCAACUGGCUAGUUCGACAGCUUCAGGGGUAAAGAUGGGAGAGCUAGGUUGGUUCACCUAAAAAUGGAACACCCCGCUGCUUCUUCCUUUCUCUUUUUGCCUUCUUCUGUGAGACCCACUCCGACGCCAACGUCAUAGCCUCCACCACAGUCAAACCUACCACAGCCUCCAUCCCUCCACCUAAUAACUCAGCAUUUUCACACAAUAUGAAUUCAACAUCUUCAAAGACAGAGCACAAGUGUCACUGUCAAACAGAACACAAUUAAACCCAAUCACUCAACCAACCAAUCGAAUCCAAACAAGAAUAAGGAGAGAGGAGGAAGAAGAAGAGAUAGAGGAGCCAUGGAAGAGAGAGAUUUUAAGGACCUGCCCCGAAUUUUCUCAAAACCCGAGACGAACCCUUUGGAAUUCCUGACAUCACCCCGAUGCCAGGCCCACUUACUAAAAACCGAGACUUCCUGCCGAAAUUUCGGCAAAGUCUCCCCUAUAAAUUGGACAUUUCCCAAAAUUUCAACCUGCAUAAAAACGCAUUUAAUAUUCCCAACUGGCAGCAUGCACAAUAUAAUUUCAUGCAAUUCACACAAAUGGUCUUCGGCCUUUCAAUAAUUCCUAUCCAACUACCAAACCAUUCAAAUACAAAUUAUGACUAAUAUGUAGUCUACGGCUGCACCUAAUAACCUUAGGCUGCCUACGUACCCUCUUUGAGGGAUCAAGCCACACGUAGUUCUUCCGUAAAACCCAGUUCCACACUUGGGCGAUACCUUAUUUCAUUUCUCUGUAUUUCACAUAUUCUCCCCAUACGCCGGUACAACCAACGCCACGUAUGGGGCCUGUCAACACGCCGGAUAACCUACGCCACGUGCGACCAUGCCAUACUAUCAUAUCACAUAACUCCCCGUACGCCGGUACAACCAACGCUACGUAUGGAGCCUGUCCCAACGCCGGAUAACCUACGCCACGCGGGACCUCAAUUUCAUAUCACAAAUCUCCCCAUACGCCGGUACAACCAACGCCACGUAUGGGGUCUGUCGACACGCCGGAUAACCUACGCCACGUGCGACCUCAACACAAUAUUACGAAUCUCCCCAUACGCCGGUACAACCAACGCCACGUAUGGGGUCUGUCCCAACGCCGGAUAACCUACGCCACGUGGGACCUAACUUUCACUUGAUGGUGCAUGUAGUAAAUCCAACAUCCGGGGCUCCGAUUCACGAUCCGUGAAUUCCUACACGAUCUUAGAAAUACCUAGAUUACCAUAUAUUAAAUUUGGGACCAUCCGACGGUCCCAACCUAUCGAACCCGGAUAACGCAUACUAUGCGAUUAUCCGUUCGAUAGUCAAACGACGUCCGAAUUGAGAUCCGCGAAAUCCUACGCACUCGUGACAACCUAAGGAUCUCAUCGGAACACAUCGCUACUUUUUCUACAGUGCCCACGCACCGCCGCACGCGCCGGCAGCGCAUGGGUGCCCAAAGCGAUAACGCUUCGCCGGAAAAUCUCAACAUCUCGGCUCCAAACUCCUACCCUAGGUAUAUCACCCUAUUUGGAGCCACUUUUGUUCUUGGACCUACCCCAAAAAAUGGCCGGAAAUGGCCGAUCACGGUGGCCGAAGUUUCGGCCGAUUUUCAAUUCGAAAAUCGAGUGAUCUAGAGAUCGAAUCGAUCAAAACCCAACCAACAGGCAGCUAGAACAGCUCGAGAGGUUCGAAAUCCAUACCUGGGUCGACGGAAUUGGUGGCCGGAGGAGGGAGAUCGACGGCGUUGAAGUUUCGACGACUUUCCGGUGGUUUUCUGAAUUUUCCGGCCAGCACAGGCCGUGUCGCCGGUGGGGAAGGAAGGGGACGUCGUCCCGGUCGUUUUGGUACCGGCCCCGCCCACAGCCGUGGUCGGUGGCCGGAGAUACGAGGGGUGGAAGAGAGAGAGAAGUCGCGGGAGAGAGAGAGAGAGAGAGAGAGAGAGAGAGAGAGAGAGAGAGAGAGAGAGAGAGAGAAAACCAGAUUUUUAUAAAAAAUCCCAUUUCGAAAUAUUUACGAUUGUGCCACUGGACUUCUUUUGACCAUAUCUCUCUCGUUACAACUCCGAUUCGAGCCCACUACGUGUCUGUGAACUCGUCUCAGUACGACCUAUCCAAAAAUACAAGUCACGGUCCCGAACUCUCUCCGGUUAAAAAUAUGACUAAAAUACCCUUAAAUAAUUAAAUAAUUAAAUAAGGGUUAAAUUUGGGGUCGGGGUGUUACAAUCGGUCCCAACCUAUCAAACCCGGAUAACGCAUACUAUGCGAUUAUCCGUUCGAUAGUCAAACGACGUCCGAAUUGAGAUCCGCGAAAUCCUACGCACUCGUGACAACCUAAGGAUCUCAUCGGAACACAUCGCUACUUUUUCUACAGUGCCCACGAGCCGCCGCACACGCCUGCAGCGCGUGGGUGCCCAAAGCGAUAACGCUUCGCCGGAAAAUCUCAACAUCUCGGCUCCAAACUCCUACCCUAGGUAUAUCACCCUAUUUGGAGCCACUUUUGUUCUUGGACCUACCCCAAAAAAUGGCCGGAAAUGGCCGAUCACGGUGGCCGAAGUUUCAGCCGAUUUUCAAUUCGAAAAUCGAGUGAUCUAGAGAUCGAAUCGAUCAAAACCCAACCAACAGGCAGCUAGAACAGCUCGAGAGGUUCGAAAUCCAUACCUGGGUCGACGGAAUUGGUGGCCGGAGGAGGGAGAUCGACGGCGUUGAAGUUUCGACGACUUUCCGGUGGUUUUCUGAAUUUUCCGGCCAGCACAGGCCGUGUCGCCGGUGGGGAACGGUCGGGGAAGAAAGGGGACGUCGUCCCGGUCGUUUUGGUACCGGCCCCGCCCACAGCCGUGGUCGGUGGCCGGAGAUACGAGGGGAGGAAGAGAGAGAGAAGUCGCGGGAGAGAGAGAGAGAGAGAGAGAGAGAGAGAGAAAACCAGAUUUUUAUAAAAAAUCUCAUUUCGAAAUAUUUACGAUUGUGCCACUGGACUUCUUUUGACCAUAUCUCUCUCGUUACAACUCCGAUUCGAGCCCACUACGUGUCUGUGAACUCGUCUCUGUACGACCUAUCCAAAAAUGCAAGUCACGGUCCCGAACUCUCUCCGGUUAAAAAUAUGACUAAAAUACCCUUAAAUAAUUAAAUAAUUAAAUAAGGGUUAAAUUUGGGGUCGGAGUGUUACAGAGAUGGAAGGAAGAAAAAAAAAAAAAAAAAGGUGCAGCGGCUGCAAAUGGAAAAAAAGAAGAAAAGAAGAUGUGUUACUUAGGGUUAAGAACAUGAGUAUUGGAAGAGAGAGAGGGGGAAAAUAAACAAAUGAAAUGAGGGUAAGUGGGAAAUUGAGAAAUUAAAUAAAGAAAAGAAAGAGGGAUAUGUUAUAAAACCAAAGGAAUUGAGGAGAGAAUUUGGAAAACAGAGGAUUGUUGUUCUCUCUGUGUUUGUUCUGUUUAUUGAAUGUAUCUUAGACAAUGAAGGGAUGAACCCUUUUAUAGGCAAAGCCUAAGGAACAUGUGGGCUCCACAACUAAUUAUUUACAACACUCCCCCUUGGAGACCACAAAUGAUAUGGAAUAUGACUCGUUAAAAACCUUGCCAGUAAAAACCCAGUGGGACAAAAACUGGUCAAAGGAAAAAAGAGUACAUAAUCAUGUGGAACAUAAAAUUCUGUGUAUAUUGGCAUGCGUGCAACACUGCCUCGUUAAAACCUUGCCAGGAAAAACCCAGUGGGAUAAAAACCUGGACGAAGGAAAAAGAGUACGGUGUUUGAAGAUCUUUAUUGAUGGUGCGCUCCCCCCUGAUGCUUGGCAAAAUAUCUUUAAGUCAUACUGUUGAUCAGCUUUCUGAAUAUCGUAGUUGACACUGCUUCUGUGAGUCAAUCUUGAGCGACACUGCCUCAUUAAAACCUUACCAGGAAAAACCCAGUGGGAUAAAAACCUGGAUGAAGGAAAAAGAGUACAGUGUAUGGAGGUCUUGAUUAAAACCAUGCUCCCCCUGAUGAAUAGCUCCCCCUGAUGAAUAUCUCCCCCUGAAAAAUUUAGGACUAGCUUUUGUCCAGUAAGUGACCAUAAAAAUUUUCAUAGUAUACCCGAAACCUUUGAGCUACACUGCCUCGUUAAAAUCUUACUAGGAAAAACUCAAUGGGAUAAAAACCUGGAUAAAGGAAAAAGAGUACAGUGUUGAGCUGAACUCUAUCUGGUCUAGUAUAUUUCUGGAAAAACAUUUAAGGACCAACGGAUAAGACUUUCUUAGUAUAAGCAAGAAUCUCGUUGGUAUAAUGCUCGAUCGAGACAAAUAUUUCAUGAAUUCUGCAGAAGCUUUAAUGUGUUGCAAUCACAUUAUAAUCAAUGUACUCACUGAGGUAAUUUAUGCAUAUUAAUAUUGAGUACAAAUUUUGUGCUUCAAGCACAUGUCCUUUAGGGACUUGCUUUAUGCAAUGUCAAUCCUCUCAACGGAUUUUGUUUAAAAGGAAUUAAACUUUAUGACACAUUAUAUAGCUUUUACCCAGCUAUUUAUACAUCUUUAGGAAAUCGCUUCUGGCGAUAUGCUCCGUGCAUUUAAUAACCCUUAAAGAUAAUAUGUUGGUCUCCGUAAUUGUGUAAUAAGGGGGGGCACAAUUGAAUCUGUAAAUAUGUAGAAAAACCCAACAUUCCUUGUUUCUGCCAGAAACAGUGUGUCAUACAAAGCAGGUAUAUUCCCUUUUAUUCCGAACACCCAAGUAUAAAUUCAGUAUUAACAAAUUUUGGGGUUCGUAUUGUGGGUUUGUUCUUUCACGUUCAUUCUCAUUUAUAAUGGAAUUACCUCGUUCCAUUUUGGCCAAUGAUAUUGUCGACAUUUAAUAAUUGAACGUGGUUCCAAUCAACACAGCCCAUUGAUGAUUUGAGUAGCUACUCCAAAACCAAAAAUUGUCAUUCAUCAAUUCAUGAUCCCACCAUUCUCAUUUGCAUGCGCAUGCAUCAAUUAUAAGCAUUUCUUUGCUUUUGGGUACCCAAGCCACUUCAGGGGGCUUUUAUUAUGUGAGAAUGUGGAUUAUAACCUCCAAUGGAGCGUUAUUUUACAGUAGGGCGUGGAUAAUCUCUAUUUAGAGAGUUGGAACAUUUAGAACCCAUAUAUCUGUCAUGCUGCAGGCAUGCCACAGAUUAAUACAUACAUGUCAAUUAAUUUCUGGGACUUUAACCCAUAUAAUUUGCUACGCAUUAGGCGUGCAUUAUAUCAAUAUUGACAUGUCAAAGGAUUGUCCUUUCGGGACUUCAAUCCAUAUCAUUUGCUAUGCAACAGGCGUGCACCCAUAUAUCUGUCAUGCUACAGGCAUGCCACAGAUUAAUACAUACAUGUCAAUUAAUUUCUGGGACUUUAACCCAUAUUAUGGGACUUUGACCCAUAUAAUUUGCUACGCAUUAGGCGUGCAUAAUAUCAAUAUUGACAUGUCAAAGGAUUGUCCUUUCGGGACUUCAAUCCAUAUCAUUUGCUACGCAACAGGCGUGCAUCAUAUUGAUCACUGCUAUACCCAUAUUCUGUUCUUAUGGGACAUUAAUCUGUGCAGUGUAUUAUCAAUGUAUCCAACUUGCAAUCUGUAAAAUUUGCAUUAAUAAUUCAUGGAUACAUACAAGCCAUUCUUUUGGAACGGACUUAUCUUCCCAUUUGGUUACCUUUCAAGAUAAAAUAUCAAAUCAGUAUAUAAGCAUAAAAUAACACAAAUAUCGCUUACAUCCUUAGGUGGGAGAAACUUUUCUCAAGUAUCAUUCAAGCUUGUAUCGGCCCAGUAAAUGUAGCGCUUGAUGAUCUAGUUAUAUCCUGCAAUAGUAAAAUCACAACUCUUUUCUCUGUCAAAAACAAAUAAUCCUCAGAGAGUUACAGAAAGAGAAAAAAAUGCAAAAAAAGAAGGUAAGCAAUCAGGGAAGGAAGUUGGUGGGAGCAGACAAUAAGCUCUCAUAUCUCCUAGUCUAGAAGUUCUUCCGGAGAUUAGAGCAUAAGAUCGCCUUCACAGUUUCCUGAUGUAGCGGAAACGUGAUCAGGGAUAGUCUCGCUUCCUGAAUGGAUGAUCAGAGAUAGUCUUGCUUCUCGGGCAUAUUAAGUGCUCACUGAUAAGAAAAACUGGAUGUCUUCUGCAAAGAAAAUUUCGUUAGUAACACAUUUAUACACAAAUAAGAGGAAUAGGUAGAACUGGUGAAUUUCAAAUUAACCAUAGGAAAAUUGUAAAAUUCUCGGGAUACUUUUGAAAAAGUAGCUCCGUGAAAUCCGUAAAGCAAGAUCGGCUUUUAAUGAGAAUAAUACUUUGAAAAUGCCGAAAGUGCCGACAAACAUUUAAUGGAGGCCACGUGAAGUUUUGGAAUCUGGGAAAAAAAAAGAUAAUAUGGGGAUCUGAGAUAAUAUUGGGAUCCUGGAAACUGUAGCCACAUUUCCUCCUAUAGAUAUGGCCUUUGGAAAAUUUGAUUGGAGCAACUGCGUUUCAACUUGCUCCUUUCCUGUUAUAAUAAUUGCACACAUUCUUAAAAUUUGCACCUGUGGUUUUUACGUCUUUUCAAAAUGACGGUUUGGAACCUUGUGCUUUAUAGGUUCAAAUGACCACAUCGACUCUCCCAAAUUUCAUAUUUCAACGUAUGGGAGCCCGGAACUUAUGGCCUGGGCUAAACACAAACUCAGAAUUUAUUUGCCCUUUUCAAAAUGGACAUGAAAUAUGAAUUGAGUAAAAGUCACGCUAAUAUCUCAUAUAUUUGGGUUCAUGAGCUUCUGGCCCAGAUAUAACAAAAUAUGUGUAGAGCCUCAAUUCAUCAUUCUCUUAUGCCAAAGAGAUAUGUGGCGUACCACAAUUUGCAAUAAUACCUCAAGGGUUGUCCAUUUAAUUGUUGGAACUUCAGGUUCUCAACACUGUUAGAUUUUGAACUUCUGGCCAAAAUCACAUAUUCUCAUGGUAUGGACAUUCAAUCCCCUUAGAUUUUGAACUUCGGGCCAAAAUCACAUAUUCUCAUGGUAUGGACAUUUUUACAAUUUUCUGUACAUAUUUCUGGACUUCAAGCCCUUACAUAAUUGUCCAUAUUUUGAGGAACUUCUGGCAUCUCAUUUAAUUGCUCAUCCAUGAGUUUAAGGAGCUGCAGGUUCCCUUUUGAAUGGUGAUGGUUUACCCAAAAUGGUAAAUAUUUAUGCAUACAUCACUAUUCAUGUAUACGGCACUAUUCAUGUAUACAGUACAUUUGCCAGUACAGUUAUCAUCCAUGUGUACGGCAUUAUGAACCAAUACGGUACUGUUACAUCAUUAAGGAACCCCAGGUCCUUAUUUACAUGUCAGGGAUCAAGGACCAUCAAGUCCGAUCACAUGUUUACAAAUAUAGUGCCGGAGAGACUGCCAGCUCUCACAUUAACAUCAUCAUCAAGGAUCUUCAAGUCCUGAUGUAAUUGUAUAAUGAGGAUCAAGGAACUUCUGGUCCUGAUCUGCAUACUGUAAAAAACUCAUCAUACAGCACAUUUAAUCCAUAUAAUAAAUUGCUGGUAAAUAAAUUACCGGUAUGGACGAUAAACCCGCACCACACUUUAAAUAAAUGUAAAUGUGCGGUAAAUUAAAUUCAUAAAGUUAAGGUGCUUGUAUGGGCAUUAAUUCUGCUCCAUACAUUUAAAUAAAAGUAAAGGCGUGGACGAUAAACCCGCACCACCCUUUUAAAUAAAUGUAAAUGUGCGGUAAAUUAAAUGCAUAAAUUAAAUUGCUUGCUGUAUGGACGUUAAUCCCGCACCAUACUUUAAAUAAAAUGUGCAGUAAAGUAAACGUGCUUGUAUGUGCACUAAUUCUGCUACAUACAUUUAAAUAAAAGCAAAGGCGUGGACGAUAAACCCGCACCACCCUUUUAAAUAAAUACUGUUGUAUGGGUAAUAAACCUACACCAUACAGUAAAUAAAAUAAAUGUGCGGUAAAGUAAAUGUGCUUGUAUGGGCACUAAUUCUGCUCCAUACAUUUAAAUAAAAGUAAAGGCGUGGACGAUAAACCUGCACCACCAUUUUAAAUAAAUAUAAAUGUGCGGUAAAUUAAAUGCAUAAAGUAAAGUGUUAGUAUUAGUAACGGUCUCCCACUGAUAAUAUGUUUAGUAUUACCGAGGGUCCAUUUUUGUUAAUGGUUAGUAAAAGAAAAGCAGAUAAAUAUAAUAGGAAAUAAUAUGAAAGAUAAGGGAGCAGAGAUCUUAUCGCUUAUUCUUUCGGUGGGUCGGUGAGUUUUGCUGUUUUUUAAUAAAAGAUGCUUCAGACCCUUUUUUUUUUUCUCUUUUCUUUAUCGGUGAGUGCUGCUCAUCAUUGCUGGUAUCUGUGUACCUCAUGUGCUUGCAUCGAAAGUGGACAUAUGGUGUGUCUGCUCCACCGACAUAUCCAUGAAUAUCGUGAAAGGCUACCUCAUGGAAUAUAGACUCCAAAGUUUCCAGGUUUCAAGCACUUGUUGAGCAGUCAAGCGUUUUCUAGGAUCUGGCUCCAGCAUCUGCCGAACAAGGCUUUUAGCACUCUCCGAAAUCACAAGAUCGGGAUACCCUGCUCCAAUUCAUCCUUGGCCCAAGGAGGAAGAGGGUUGUGGUCCAGGUCGAGGUGGUUCCGGUCGACCUUGGCUUGGUGAAGGAAGCCGUGCAGCUGAGGAGGUAAUUUGGUUCUUCCCCGAAUGCGUAGCUGAGAUCCGGGGCGUCGUAGAAUGUGGGCUCAGACGGGUCGGAGCCCAAGUCCGGGCCGCAACCACCCGUGCUCCAGGUGAUGAUGUUGUCGAUGCUGGUGCUGGGGUUGAGAACAGUCAUCAUCAUCAUCGUCUUCCAGAGCUUCGUUCUGAAGCUACAACAAGUUCGAAGCGAACUUGGAGAUCCCAGUGACGGCUUUGAUGGGCCAUCACCGAUGCUUGUCUGGUACACUUGAUGGUGCUGCUGUUGGUUUAUCUAAAUGGGUUUCAUCAGAUAACUCAGCCGGUUAAAGACUCGUGCUGAUAACGUGUUAUAAAACCAAAGGAAUUGAGGAGAGAAUUUGGAAAACAGAGGAUUGUUGUUCUCUCUGUGUUUGUUCUGUUUAUUGAAUGUAUCUUAGACAAUGAAGGGAUGAACCCUUUUAUAGGCAAAGCCUAAGGAACAUGUGGGCUCCACAACUAAUUAUUUACAACAAGAUAGAUAUAUAAGUGGGAGAUGGGACCUUUUUUUUUCUUUUUUUUUUUUACUUUUAAUUUUAUUUAUUCUCUUUACUUUUGUUUUUAAUUUCUAACAGAAAAAAAAAGGUUUUUAAUUUUAAUAUAUCAUAUAUAUAAAAGACAGAGAAUGUGUGCAAGGAAGCUUAAGUCGGACUUUUGAAUUCUUUAUUUUUUAUUUUUUAUUUUUUUCAUUAUUGUGCAUACAUGGAUUUAGAAUCUCUUCAUCCAAAUGAAGCCUUACAAGAGGGUGUACAUAUAACACGUAUCUAAAGUGGUGGAAAUAUGAAUGGGAGGUUGAGUUGUGUACAUGAUGGAAAAUUUAAAAAUAACAUAAUGGAUUAAAAGUUUACAGAAGGAACUAAUACUAUUUGUUCAGUCAAUAUCUUAAUAUGUUAGUCUUGCUCUAUACAAUUGGAAUACUAUAAUUGUCAAGCUCCAAUGAAUAUAUUUAUAUUAUAUAUGGUGUUUCAUGUAAUUAAAGUUUAAAUGAAGAUAGUUUAAAAUUUUAAAGUACAUACAUACAUAAAAUACAAAAUGGAAUAGUAUGAUACUUCCCUACAUUUACCACAUAUGUAGUAUGUUUUGAUAUAACAAGCACACAUAUGCAUUUUUUGUUGUAUUCAAACAAGCACAUUUGCCAAAAACAUAUACUCUUAAAGUUAUAAACUAUUAUGUUUAAUAUAUUUUUUUGGCAAGGCUUAUUUUAGUAUAUAUGAAUAUUUGUAUGUGACCUAAGAAAUGAAACAUAUAUAACACCUAUACAUUAAAAAUAAUGCAAUUAUCAUAAGAAAUUCGAAAUUUUUUAGAAACCUUUGGAAAAAUCAAAUCGGAAUGGGUUCGAUAAACUUCGGCAUUGAUUGAAAAUAUCGGAUUCGGCAUUUUCGGAUAUCGGAUUUAUCAGUCGGAUUUUUUUUUUGGAAAUAUUCGGACCAGAAUCGGAUUUUCCAAUCCAACUUACACCCAUAAUUUCUUAAAAAGCAAACUUGAAAACAAGAAGGUGGUUUGUAUGUGCUGCCUCCCUGAUUGGAUCUUCAUUGGAGCUCUCUCACGACUCAAUCAUUCUUUACUUCAUGAAUUCACACGUACGAUUUGGCCCUUCCAAAUUUUAUUGACAGAUCUUAUAACUUGACUUGGAUUUAUUUCACUUCCUCAAAGAAAAUCAUAGGUUUCAAUAAAAUUUUGGAAGUCAUAUGGAGAGAGGAAGAGUAUAAGGGGAGAGAAAAAAUAGUGGGAGAGGGUGGGGAGUUGCGGGUGAGGGUUCAGGAUGCAGCUAUGGCGUGGGUUACGAGUGGGAAUGGGGGUGGUGGGCGAGAAAAAUAGCAGAUGAGAGUAAAGAGAGAGGGCAGAUGGGGGAUGGGAAAGAACAAAAAGAAUUUUCAACCUUUUUCUUAAUUUUUAAAUAUUUUUUUAUUUUAAAUGUUUAUAUAUAGAUAUUUUAUCUUAUCCACAUGUCACGACCUUAUUGGAGAUGUGGAGCCCACUUACCUUUCACGUCAGCAAUUUAAUAGAGUUUCUAACAUCACAUACCAUUUUUAUUGUGUCAUUCGUGGUCCUCAAGGUUAGUAUGUGCGAUCACAAAUAGUCAUUGUAGUUAGGUUCCAUCAAAGACUCCAUUAGUUUGCUAACGCGACAUAUAUAUAUCACAAAACAUCAUUGAGGUUAACGCACCUAUCACAAAUGGUCUUUAAUUUUUUAAUUUAAAAUUCAUAAAAUUUUGGUUUAUCCGCAUGGCUCAUCCCUUUUGCCCUCUCCCAUAUAAUGAUUUUCCAAAUUUGCCUUGCAAGAUUGGGUUUCUGGAAUCAGUUGAGUAUCUUGUUGAACCUAAGGAAGUCAUGAACUUCACACAGUUUUCACUAGAGUUCUUUUGCUUUUAUAUUUAUAGAUAGAACAAAGGUAUGAACAUAUUAUAAUUUUUUUGUUUAUAUUUAAUAUGCUAACAUGAUUAGCCUUAGACUUGGUCCAAACUUUCGAUCCCUUUUUAGCAUCUCUAACCGAUGAUCCUAACUACUCUGUGAAAGUUUGAGUAGCCUCAACCCUCUCAGUCCUACCAUCAAUCCCGAAAUUCUCACCCACCUGUCUUAACGCAUCAAAUCUAGAAGCCAUAUUUCGACCUCCUUUUCCUCCAACUUCCUGAGUCACACUCACACCUUUAGGUCUCCUUCGAUCUGGAACAUUCAUCCAUGGCCCACGCAAAUUCUCAAUACCAUCAUCAAAACCCUCUUUCCCCAUUACAGUAUCACCUCCUACCAAACCAUCAUUACCCAUAUUGGAUCCAGCACCAGUCUUCUCCACAGGGGCAGCAUCUUGCACAUCACAGUGUUCCCUUUUGUGACCAUAUCGACCACACAUAUAACAAAUAUUUGAAACAUCUUCAUACUCCACAUUGUACCAAACAUUGUUAAUUUGAACAAAUGCCUAAAGAGGCCAAGACAAAUCCAACUCUACACAAAAGUCAUGCAAAUUUUCCCUGAUUAUGAGAAGUAGUGAGAGCAUCAAUCUUCAACAACUUCCCCAACAACUUCCCAAUUCUUUUCAAAGCCCACACAUCGAAACACUCCAGUUGAAUCGUAGAAACACGAAUCCAAGCGGCCAUUCGAGUGAUCUUCUUAGUUGCAAGAGAAAACUCAAGCCUCCAUUUCUGCAUAACCAAACAUUGACCAGCAAUGAUCCAUGGUCCCCCCAGUCAAAACGAAAUUGAGAUCCCUUUCAAGCUCAAAAUGAACCACGAAGUAAUCAUUGACCAAAUCAACCAGUUUCCACCCUCCAGUUGGGCUCCACUUUUGUUGAAGUCCAGCAUAGAGAUAGUUGUAGGUAUGGAUCUCCCAAGGAGCUUGAUAAUAAGAGUAUUCUGCCAAGGUUUGCAAAGACUAUCCAUGGCGUGAUCCGAAACCUGGAUGCACGGCCCACGAUCUCCACGAGAAACAAUCACAUCCUCAUAGUCAUUCAAACCCUCAUAUUUUGCGUCCAAAGAAUUAACAUCAAUUCCAACAUUUCCAACCACAUUUAUCUUAUUCAUGAGCUUAUCCCUAAAGCACUCAGAACCAGAAGCCGAUUUGGGUAGCACUGUGUUCGUAGAUGGCGGCGCAGCCAUAUUGGGCACAGACAUCAUCUCACUCUCCACAUCCCCAACGUUUGCAGCUCGACCCCGCUUGGGUAAUCUGUAAUGUUUAAGGAAAGCUCCAGGCGAGCCUUCUUCCACGGAGAAACGAAGCCCAAAACCACAACAAACAUCAGAAAACAAUCAGAUCUACACCGGGAAACCACCUUAGAUGGCAAUUCCCAGUUAGCUGUGAUGGAAAACGAAAACUCAUAAAAACUAGGCUUGCGUGUGAAGCGCAUGUAAAAAUCUUAAAUUUUCAUAUUAAAUAAAUCCUCAAUUUUUUUUUUCUCUCAUAUUAAAUCAUCAAUUAAAAAAUGGUACAAAAAAUCUUCAAUUUUCAGUCUCAUAUUACAUAUAAGAAAGAUAUGAACAUAUUAUAAUUUUUUUGUUUAUAUUUAAUAUGCUAACAUGAGAAGAAGGCUGGAAAUCUGGUACGAACAAGGCCCAAAGACUACUGAGCCCAAUAAGUUUCGAAAUGGGUCAGCAUUGUCCAGAGGCCAAUAAGGGAUCGCUGCUUCUUGCGAGCCUGACUCAAUUACCUUUCGUAGUAAGUAAGUAAAAAUUAUAUUUUGGAAAAAAAUUAUGAAAAAAGAGGUAUAAAAUGGAUAAAAUGGGUUGUGAAAAAUCACUGCUUAUCUUCUUACCAUUUGGGCCGGUAAAAAUAUUGGUAGCUGGUAAUUUCCAGACAGCCUGAGACGGGUGAAAAUUGCAGGGGACAGAAAAGAAAAAUGUUACGCUAAUUAUUGAACUCCCAUGGAAACUCGGGGGCUCUAUCAACGAUGAUAGAUCUUCACCUUCCCAUCGCUUUCCCACUUCACCACUCCCUUACCGAUAGAUCUUCGAUCAGGUAAACCCGCCACGUCAUGGAAGCAGCUCUCUUAUGUUGUUAGUUUCCUAUUUGAGAAAAUGCAUGUAAGAUUAUGAUGAUGGGUCUCUACACACGACGGUAGAGAUAGAAUUAUUGUUACCGGAGAUGAGGACUAGAGGUAUAAUAGGGGCGUUGUUGAAAUCUUUCGGUCCAAGUGAGCAUGGCACUCGCCUUGUUCGUAAAGGAAGAAGGUUGGGUCGAUUUGUCAGACACAAAUUCUGGCUCUAGGGUGUUUCUCUUUGCAGCAAUCUUUUUGAUUUACUUGCUACUCUUCGGCCUCAACAUGCAUUUUCCUGGUAUGUUCAAAACUUGAACUUUCGUUUAUUUUCUUAUCUAAUCAGCUUGGUAUUAUAAUGGGAUAUUUACAGAUGUAGUUUAUUACUCAUUGCAGCUAAACUAGAAGGUAGUGGUCUAGUAUCCGUAUUUCAGCACGGCAAGAAAUUUUUGCCAUUUCAUGUUGUUGGAAGACCACCCAGAUGCAAGCAUUGUCAGUAGUGUAAGUGUGAAGUGUUAUAUUUUCAAUGUUUCAUAUCACAACCCUUGAGUUUAUUAUUGAUUUAGUGCUUAUGCAUAUGAAGAUGUGAUGUCUUUUUCUUUCUUGUUCGUUGGAUUGUACAAAGAUACAAAAUUUGCAAACCAGUUUAUCCCUAUGGCUCAUCCCUUUUGCCCCCUCCCAUAUAAUGAUUUUCCAAAUUUGCCUUGCGAGGUUGGGUUUUUGGAAUAAGUUGAGUAUCUUGUUGAACCUAAGGAAGUCAUGAACUUCACACUGUUUUCACUAGAGUUCAUUGACCAAGAGGGAAUACCUUCCCUUAGUAAUAUAUAUGAACCUAGAUUUGGAGGACAUCAGACACUUGAGGAAAGAGAGCAAUCUUUCUUUGCGAAGAAUCAAACUCUACAUUGUGGAUUUAUCAAAGGACCCCCUGGAUUCUCAAGCACUGGAUUUGAUAUAGAUGCGAAGGACAAGGCAUACAAGAACGAGUGUAAGAUUGCAGUAUCUUCUUGCAUUUUUGGAAGCUCUGACUUUCUUAGGAGGCCUACAAGCAAAAAGGUUAAUGAGCUAGUCUUUAUUGAACGUAUUUGUCUUCUCGUAUUCAUAUAAAGCAUAUAAUCAAAUGUUUUUGGUUAAAUAGUUAUUUUUCCUCUUUCUGUUGGUUCUGUAUGAAAUGAGAUGAUGCUAAAAGAACUUGCCAUCAUCCUGAUAUUUUGUUUGGCUGAUAAACAUUUGAGUUAGUAAUUAGACCCUUUUGUGUCGGACAAGAAAAUUAAUAGGUGUAGAGUUGAAGAUGACGAACCAAGUCAGAAGAUGUAAAGUUUUCUUUCAGACAGCUCUUUUCAUUAGUUUAAUUUUACAUAUAGGCAGUGUGACGACGAGGCAUUAGAGGGCUUCUCAUGAAGUAUGGAGAUAAAAAAGCAAUUAAGUGAAGUUGUUAUUCAUGGAGAGCUUUGGUGCUAUCUAUGGUAUGACUGCAGAUGAGUUUAAAGUAUGAUCUGAUUAAUGGCUGAGAUACCUGCUGGGAUGUUGAAGGUUGUGUAGAUGAUGUCUUAUUUUUCCCAUGACCUACUUUUGUUCUCAAUCAUCAUAUUGAUUGUAGAUUGAUAAAAAGCAUAACUCAGCGUACUUUUCUUGCACAAGGAACAACUAUAUUAUUUUAUAAGUUGAUUCUUUUUUGGCAAUUUGCAUGCAUUUGUUGGGCAUUCUAAUCAUGUAUUUUGAGUUUGUCGAGUUGCACGGUGUCCUGGCUGCAUAAUGCAGAACGUACAAUUGAAUUUUUUUAGUGAGACAAAUUAUUAAUUGAACUAUUUCUCUUUGUUAAAUAUUUUCAGGACUGUGAGCGCAGAGCACUAGUAAAGCUAUUCCGGCAUAGGGAAGAGCCAUCUCCUCCAGGACCUCCACCUGUUACUUGAUCAGUAAUUAUUAUUUGCAGUUAUUCGGGUAAGGUUAAUUUGAUGUUCAGUGUUUAGAUUCCUAACACUUUCUGACUGGACAUUAGUUUGGUAAAAAGCCUCUGGUUCUAUUUACCAAAUUCAUCAAAGUUUAUGAAAGACCUUAUGCGGUUUAUGCAGGGACGGAGACUGAAGUGAAAACCAAGCUAAUGUCAGCUGCUUGUCUGGCGAGAUUGAAUGGGUUAAGUCGUUGUAGGCUUGUAGCUGCUGCUGAGCCUGAAUGGCUGGUGGUUUUUGUUGUUGUUGCAACUUUCACCUGACCAUAUAGGACACAGAGAGGAAUUUAAUUUAGCAUUACAAAAAUGAUCCAAAGAUCGGACGGCCACAAGUCUCAACUGCUGUUUCAAACUGGGAAAGGCAGACCAAGCAAUGCUGUUGAGGACAUUGGUAGGGAAGGGACUUAUUUUCCUCUACUGUAAUAUUCAGUUCCAUACCCGACUUUCUGAUUUUCCUGAAAGAAGGGUGGUUUAGAAACUAACAGGUUGUAAUAUUCGUUUGUAUAGCCCUAUACAUUUUUAAUGUAGAAGAAUUUAGCUCACCUCCAACACAUGAAGGGAUGAUAGCCAUUCUGUACUUCGUAGAAAUUCAUUAAUAUGUGACAUUCAUCCAAAUAUCUAUGAAAACUCAUGUGGUUCUCAUCUCAACUGCUUGCUAACAUCAAUCCUUUCAAACAACCAAAGUGAGUUAAAAUCAAACCUUGCUCUUUAUUGGUUGUUGUACGUACAAUUUUUUAUUACUCCUUUUAUUUGUAGAAUACAUACAAGAUAAGUUGGCAAAAAGGUUUCCUCAAUUGAAAAGCUUUUUAUUUUAUUUUAUUUUAUUAUUAUUAUUAUUUAAAUAGUUAUUAUUUAUGUUUGUUAAUGGCUCAUACCAUCACUGUGCGUCGAGCCUAUUGCAAAUCACCACGUGGCUAUGGAUGGUUGCGUUAAACGUACACCGACCCGACCCGAUCAUAAAUAAUGCCUCAGGUAUCGAUCAAAGGCCUCCUUGUCGAAACUUGACAUAACAAAAGGUGAAUCAGUGUUCGGGCAUUCAGAUACCGACUUGACCACUGUGGUGCCGUGUAUGACCAGAGAUGCAUUGAUGACCAAAUAGGCAUGAUCAGACCCCUGUCAAGUCAAUCACUCCACUCGUUUAAUAAACAGCCUGGCAAUUAAGAUAGAUCAGUUAAUGUACUUCCCAUCCAAAAGCAGGUGUCGCCUUAACCUUUGAUUUCCGAGUGAGCAGGUUGGUGAUGGAGAGAGAUCAUUUAAUAUGCCUCAUAUCCAAAGCCACAUGUUGCUUUAUCACACAACCCCUGUCAGAAAGCAUGGUGAUCAGAACAGGUCAUUUAAUGUAACCCAGUCCCACGAAGGAAGAUAAAUAUCUUCCCCUUUAGAUAUCUAUCUCUCAUCUUCCCUCUAUAAAUACCAUUCACCUACAUCAGGACGAAGGUAAUAAAUAUUCCACCUUGCAAACCCUACAUACAUUUUCUCCAUCUCAAAGCUACAUCGAGGGUGGUUCAAUUGGAAAAAACACCAGUUCGCACCUAUUCUAAUAACUGUUCGAAGUGUGCAGGUCUCCUCCAGAAAACAUUACGACCCGGAAACAAGGUAUAGGCCCAGACCUUGAUCCAGAUUUAGGCUAUACACUAUACGAGAAAGAUACACGGUUUACAAUGUUGUUUUUUUUUUUUUGGUCGGUCGAAUACAAUGUUUGUUUGAAUACUUAAAAUGUAUUGAAUAACUAAAAAUUAUAUAUAUAUACUAAAACUGAGUUCAGAAUCACUGUUCCUAAGCUGUUCAUUAGGAACGGUGAAUUUACUAUUAUAUUAUAUAUACUAAAACUGAUCCGAAGUCACUGUCCUUAGACUGUUCAUAGGCUGCAGCUUAGGAAUAGUGAAGUGACGGUUUUGCCCCCGCUUAAGUGAUGGUCUCAGUUUAGGAAUAGUGAUGAGCAGUGAAUUAGCCGUUUUACCCUCCAGCCCUGUUCUCUUCUCAUCGGGACUUCGUUGGAGUUGCUGAGAGAAGGAAAACCAUUGAUCAGCCCCACACCCUUCCCCUUCAUCGCAGCGGCGCCCCCCCUUCUCUCUCUCUCUCUCUCUCUCUCUCUUCAUUUCUCUCUCUCCGCCACCGCCACCGUCAUCAUCACGAGCACCGACUCUCUCCUACCAUCUCCGAUGGACGGUUCUGAUGCCUCACCCGUUGGAUCUCCCGAUCGCGCCUCCUCUGAGAUUCAACGACAGCCGUCCGACGAUGACGUGAUCAAUCUUCUGGGACCGGCGGUCUCUCCGAGGAUCUCAAACAAAAAAUUAUUAAGCAGGCAAGAUCUCUCUAUCUCUCUCUAUUUGAGCAUUUGGAUAACGAACCCUAGGAGCUUAAUAUAUGUUUGCAUCUAAAAGGAAAUAUGAUUUGGAGCUGAUGUUCUGAGCUAAUCGACCAGUCUCUCAGCUGGAAGGUAAAGAUGGUUGCUUCAAUAUAAGAUCAUUCAAACAAAAAAUCUGAUUUUACACUAAAAAAUAUAUAGAAACCUACUUACCGUCUGUUUGUUUGCUAAGAAAAUGUCAGAAAAAAAAAAUUUAAUAUUUUAAAACAUUUUACUGUUGUUUUGUGGGUAGGAGUUCACUAAUUAUGCUUUUAAGAGCGUUUGAGGUCACCCACUGAAUGACAUUAGUACUUUUUUAUUGAAAUCACUUGGGUUUCUAUGGAAACUCAAGGACAUAAGGGCAAAAGUUAAGUCUUUGUUCUAUAAUUAUGUUGGAUUGAAAAUUUGGUGCCUUUGUUCUUUCUUGCAUGUGCUUGGAAUUACAAUGAAAAUUUCCUUUCAUUCUUUUUUUUGUUGUUGAAGGUCUGAGCAUGAGGACAAAGGUGAUUUUGCAAUCUCACCAAAGCAUUUCAAGUAAAAACCAUAUCCUCGAAUUGCUCUUUUAGUGUGAUGGUUUAUCAUCUAAUUGGGUUCUAUGUUUGAGCUUAUGGAUUGGUUCAUGGUGGAUUUGAAUUGGCACUCAGAGUUGCUUGGGUGAAGUUGAUGACUGUGUGCAUUGCAGUACUACAACAACAAAAUAGCGCAAUUACAUCUAUCCAUGGACUUUGAGAUAGAAACAAGGUUUACAUAUUUUAAUCUCCUCCACUGUAUUUCAAUUUCUUUCCCUUUUAUUAAUUUUGAUUGUAUUUCUCCCCUGUGAUGGGAUUGAACAGGCUUUUGAAUUAGUAAUGGGAGGUGACUGUUUGUGCUUGAACGAAGGCUUGCCAUUGCCCUUGCUGCUGUUGUGGGACAGAGCCAGCGUAUAUGUACAGAAGUUACGGUAUACAUUGUUCUCUCUCCUUCUCUGUAAUUUCAGUUUUUUUUUUCUUUAAUAGAAUUUCGUCAAAUAUUUUGGCUCUGGAUUUUUUGUGUUGAAGAAAUUUACAAUAAAGGUGUUCUAUGAUGUUGUGUGUUCGUAAAUAUCUUUCGUAGAACAACACAGAAUGUUGACUGACUUUGAAGGUGCUACAAGAAAAACAAAGUAGGGUUCUGCAUUUGGUCUAGCAAAGAGGUUUGUCAAUCGUUCUCUCGUCCUCAAUUUUUUUUUCAAUAAGUCGAUUAAAUCUCAGCCUUAAAUUCACUGUUUUUUAUUUCUGUAAAAUUUAAUGAGAAUUUCUGUUACAGAAUUGUGAAUUAUGCAUUUUUUUUUUCAUGUAAGGGUACUGAGAUACUUGGGGGUUCUUUUUAUUCUCAGUUCCACUGCAUAUUAUAACUUAGAUGGGUCUGCUUUAAGAAGGUUGGUUUUAUUCUUGAAUUAUACCCAUUUGGUUUUAGACGUAGUUUAUUUAGUUAGAUAUAUGGCUACUGGUGAAAUGGAUUAGCCAAAUAUUGCAUAUGUAAUCUGCAUACAAAUUCCUAGCAUUGUUGUAAACAGUCAGUUUAAGUGGAGGAUUGUUGUAUGAAAUUUGGUAAACAAAUAUCUAGAAAUUAGCUUAACAGUUUCUUAGGUUUCAUUUAAUUUGGUAUUUGUUUUUGUGUGAUAUAUUUCUCUUAGGGCGUGUCAAAUGGUAAAGCUGCAAGUAAACCAUCCAUUACACGACAUAAUGCAAUAGACUUAUUCCAAAACAUAAGUCUAUUAUUUUGAUUGAGUGUUUCAGUGCUCAUAUUUGUCAUUUUUAAACUCUAAAUCCCUAAUUGAUGAUAAGGCCUAAUAUUUUUAAUUAGUUGAAAUUUUAUAAUGAGUAAUUGGAUGAAUGUUGAUGAUUUUGUUUGUGGAUAAUGAUUAUUUGAUUGGAUUAAUAUUGAUGAUUUUGUGUGUGGAUAAUGAUUUAUUGGAUUAGGUGACUAUAUAUGAUUAUUUGAUUUGUUGGAAUUUAGGGUUCAUGAUUUGUUGAUUAAAUUUUGUGAUGGACUUCUUUUCCUCUCUCUGUUUGUUCAUUUGACUUAAUUAAAUUUGUUUCUUAAAAAAACUGAUUUUUUGAUUAAUUGAUAUGACUGUUUGGUUUGAUUAAUUCAAGUGUAUGGCUGAAAAGUUUCGGAGCUGCAUUUGGAGCCUCAUUUAUUUGGCUUGCGGGCUUGAUUUACUUCCCCAGGUUUUCAUUCUCUUCCCUCUCAAUCUCUGAUUUUAAUCUAUUGGUGUGGAAAAGCUCAUAUUCAAGUAAUUUUUAAACUCUAAAUCCCUAAUUGAUGAUAAUGCCUAAUAUUUUUAGUUAGUUGAAAUUUUUAUAAUGAGUUAUUAGUUGAAUGUUGAUGAUUUUAUUUGUGGAUAAUGCUUUAUUGGAUUGGAUGAAUAUUGAUGAUUAUAAUGAUUUGUUGGAUUAUAUGACUAUAUAUGAUUUGUUGGAAUUUAGGGUUUAUGAUUUAUUUGAUUAAAUUGUGAUAGACUUUUUUUUAAAACUUAAUAAUCUGUUUAUCCAUGAUGUGUACAUAACGUAGUAGCAUAUUUAAAUUUCUUAAGGGGCGUUUUGAAUCAAGUGCUUCCUUCUUUUCUUCAAGAAGACAUCUAUCUUGGUAAACUAAAUUGAGUUUGAGCUUAUGGGGUUAAAUAUUUUGCCAUAUUUUUGUUGCACUGUUUCUUUUCUUAUUCUUAUAUGCAGGGAUGAUUUGUAUCUUUUCUCUUUUCAGUUUCAAACAGAUUUACAGUAGUUUUCUCUUGCCGAAAUUUUGUGAAAUAUAUGUAUAUGGAGCCUAGAUUAAGAAAUAGCGGUUAUGCAUUAUGUAGCCUUUUUCAUGAAAUUCUGUAUGUUUACUGCUUUGUGUUAGUUUCGCAUUAUUGUAAUUCAAUUUAUGUUUAUUAGAUGGGAUGAUGGGUUUGUAUGGUUUUAAAUUUCUCAACUGGAUCACUGAAACUCCCACUAAAAUUAGCAGAUUCUCAGUUUAGGUCACUUUUUUUUUUCCCCGACUUUUCUGCCGUGUCUUCUUGGAAUGUAAAUUCAUACAAUUGGUUUAAAUUAAAAAAAAAAAACUUAAAAAUCUUAUGAAUUGUUAUUUGAUAUAGAUUGACUAUUUGUCAGAAACAAAGAAACAAACAAAGACAGAUGGAGGCCUUCUUACAUUAAAGAACUUCUGUUAUUUAUGGAAUCCCUUUAAGUUUCUUCUCCUUCAUUAUUAGUGAAUACAUGUGUUUACAUAUUGCUAUGAUACUCUUUCUUUACUUAGGAUCUGUGGAUACUAUGAUAUUUGUAAAUUUUUUUUUGUUUCAAUUGAUUUGUUGUAGGAAAGUAAUUAGGUUUCAACUUUAAUUUUCUUUUUUCUUUCAUCUACCUUUUCUCUUUGUUUUACUGCUUCCCUUCUUUUCUAUCAUGGUUGGUCUGGAAAAACAUUGGUAUUGCUUUUUCUGCAUUAAGACUCCCAUCUAUUCUUUUUGCUGUUUUUUAAUUUAUAAAAUGUUCCAAUAUCAUUCCCAAUGAUUAAAUUGGUGCAUACCUCAAUAGCAACCGCUAUACUUCAUUGAAGUGAUUAUUUUAUAAUAGAGAGGCAAUGUCGAGAACAAUGUAUAAAAGCCACCUAAACUCAUCAACACCAUUUGAUUUGAUUCUAUUAAAGCUCGGAUAUUUUGGCUUAAUUCUCUUAUACAUUUUUAAUAAAUUGUCACAAUUAUUGUAAGUUUGUUAUCAAUUGAUUAAGGUUAUAGUUUUGUCCAUCAGAUUAAUAGAAUGCUUAAUGUACCUAAGUUGUUGUGUUGUCCUUUUGGACUUUUUAAUUUCAUUUUGUGAUAAUAGUUAUUGUCUUCACUUAAAAUUUUCCAUUUAUCUAUGCUAACACCUACCAUUUUCCAAAUUUGUACCAACAGAGUUAAAACUCCUGGAGAGAGGACAAGAAAGAACAUAAGCCACCUUUACCGCAGAGCUAACAAGAGAAAGACCCCCUUCUAACAGACAUCAAUAAUACCAUUCUUCUUACUAUCGUACACAUUUCACACGGUUUUAAAAUCCGCAGCAUUGCGCAGGCACCAUUGCUAGUAUAUACUAAAACUGAGUUCAGAAUCACUGUUCCUAAGCUGUUCAUUAGGAACAGUGAAUUUACGGUUUUGCCCCCUACUUAUAUUCUUUGUUCUUUUUUGUCCUAUUCAGAAGCACAGUAAAAUGACCGUAUUGCCCUUCGCUAAUUUUUUUUACCUUCUUGCCCUUCCCCUUCGGUUAUCUUCUGUUCCCAAAUGUUCGUUCGCUCAGAGAACGCACCAUUUCCAAUCGAAAACUGUUCCUUCAAUCUCUCAGCUACACCACCAAAUCCCAAAAGACGUGCCUCCAAGCUCCUGGAAAAUCCACCCAAAGUAGACAUGCCUGUGAGGGCCAUGGCUCCAGCCACAGCAAACCCAGUCAUCACUCCCACAAACACAAACCCAGCAAAAAACAGCAGAGGGAUGAAAGAUCAACAGAAGCGGUGAGCUCAAAACCAGAAGCGUCACUGAUGCCAAGAAGCUGAAACCCAUCAAGAACACAAGCGACCCUCCAAUUUCCAAGCCUCCCAUGGCUGCCAAGACCACCUUGGUGUUUUGGGAUUUCGUUUGGUCUUGAUCUCAUCAGUUUUUGAUCAUCUUCAUCUAAUCAGUUUUCGAUCAUCUCACCUCGCUUCGAACUCGCCGCCUCCUCCUUCCCCCAUUCCAAAAUCUCAAUCCCGUGCGCUUUCAAUCCUUGCUGCGAAAUCGGGGCCAAGAACUGAGGUAUGGUUUCUGAAACUCACUUUCUAAGUUUUUCGUUUUGACUGCAUCCCUCACCUGCAGAAUAUUGAAAAAUCAUAACUGACAUUGAACUUGAACCUGCACAAUCACUUCAGAAUUAGUUAAGUCAUAGAUCAAACCUCAAUGACCCUAUCCUCCCCACACGUGACAACACACAUGAGCCUCCAUCUGAAAACAAGAGGACAACCACAGCAAUACUUAAGUCAAUUUACCCUCAUAGGAGUAUAUUUGCACGAUGUGCUUAGAGUAUGCUACACCUGCAGUAGAAACCUGAUUGAUUAUAACCAGCUUAAGAUUGAUUUCCUAUUUCUUGAUAAUACUUUGUUGUGAUGAACUAGCAGGUGUCUACUUCGCAAUAUGCGAAUAAAAUUAAAUAGACACUAAACAAACAAGGACACCUAUGCUUACCUAAAAGUGUCCCGUCAGGGCUCCACAUCAUGCGGUUGAUUGAUGCUGUAUAGUCACUGGCCAAAGAUGAACUAGCAGGUAUUUGUUUUUGUUUUCUAGGAUGUUUGUUUUGUUUUAGUAGUGGACUAACGAAGUUCAAGCAUCUCAUAUAAAAACACUGCACAUAAAAACAUAUUUGGACAGUUUUGGGACUAGAAAAUCAUGAACUGCAAUUUUUUUGAUUUUUUCCGUUUUUUCGUGCUUGUUCUCCUCUUCUUUCUUAACCAUGUCUCCUUUUGAUGUUUUGUAGGUGGUGUGUUGCUGCUUUAGAUAAAGCUGUUUGGUGGUUGUUUUUGGUUCUCUUAAGCUAGAGGUGCGUUUCUAUUUUGAAAUUCCAGCUGUAAAUAAAGCCAAGUAAUUCUUAUGUAGUUUGAACCAAUGACAAGCUGUUUUAUGUGUGAUCUGUGCUUAGAUACAUAUUAAUCUUUUUGACUUUAAACUUUUAGUUUAUGGAAGAUAUGAUGUGUUUGGAGGAGUUGUUGAUAAGAGUGAUAAUAACAUGAUAUUGCUUUUGAUUAUAUAUUAAUGCCUUUUCGUGUGGCUUUUUGAAAUGUUUUGUUCUUUUGAGGGACCUUUUUUAACAUGAAAAAGGACAUGGAGUUGUUAUAAACUGCCUUUGGUUUCAUUUGAUUGAUGUUUUGGGUUGAUUUGCAGACAUAUAUGUUUAGUACAAACUGCCUUUGGUUUUAAAACCCACAGCAUUGCGCAGGCACCUUUUGCUAGUAUGUCCAUAAAAGCAAAGAGCCUCAAAUAAAGUUACAACUAGGAUUUAGGAUUUAGCCGCUUCGAGUUUAAGGACACUAAGGACAUAUCACUUGAAGUUUUGAAGUUGUCAGCCGUGCCAUUUGUCUGAAAUAAUCCUCCGAAGCGAACCAUAGCAUCAUCUGAAGACCAUCUCCUCCAAGUCGCCAUCUCUUCCGAGGUAUUCUUCCACAUCCCUCGAUACCCAUUUGACUGCUUUUUCAUAUAAUUUGUUUCUUGAAAGAGACUCUUUUCUUUAAAAAGAUUAUUUUUUUGCUUAUUUGAAUAAUUUAGGGCUUCCCUCUUUUCUGUUGAAAUCUGUAUAAGGUUCUUGAUCUGUAUGCACUAUUUCUUUUGUAAGUUGAGAUCUGUAUAGGUUCUUGAUCUGUAUGCGCUCUUUCUGUUUUAUCUGUUUCUUGAUUACAAAAAUCCUCCACAAGCCAAUUCGUCCUGUACCAUCAGGAACAUUUCACUCUGCAUUGUUCAUCCCCAAACAUUACAAAACAAAUAUUUUUCUUGGAAAUAGUCAUUGAUCUGUCUGUAUCAAACGAGCAUACGUUAUCAUCGAUGAAAAGAAAGAAAUUAAAGCUUGCAACAUAGUCUAAUGUCCAUAUAAAUAUUCCAACUUCAGGUAUUCUUCAGGAAGUAUAGUUUUCCAUAUUGUAGAAAAUAGUUAUGCUUAUUAUCAAUCUACAAUAAAUAUAAUGAUUGAGAACAAAGUCAGGCCAUGGGAACCUUAAGACAUCAUCUAGGCAACCUUCAACAUCCCAGCAGGUAUAUGACCCAUUAAUCAGAUUAUACUAUAAACUCAACCAGUCAUACCAUAAAGACCACCAAAGCUCCCCAUGAGCAAAAUUUCAUUUCUAAUCUUUUAUUUAUUUAUUUAUUUUUUAUCUCCAUACUUCAUGAGAAGCCCUUUAAUCCUCUUCACACUGCCUUUCUGUAAAAUUAAACUAUUGAAAAGUGCUAAUAGUCUGAAAAAAGAUAAAACUCUACAUGUUCUGACCUUGUUUUUUCAUAUGCUUUAUAAGACUAAGAGAUAGAUAAGUUCAAUAAGGACUAGUGCAUUAACCUUUUUGCUUGUAGGCCUCCUUAGAAAGUUAGAGCUUCCAAAAGUACAAGAAGAUAGUACAAUAUUACAGUCUUUUACGUAUGCCUUAUCAUUCACAUGUAUGCCUUAUCAUUCACAUCUAAAUCCAAUCCGAGCUUGAGAAUCCUGUGGGUCCUUUGAUAAAUCCACAAUGUAGAGUUUUAUUUUUAGCACAGAAGGAUUGCUCUCUUUCCUCAAGUGUCUGGUGUCCUCCAAAUCUAGGUCUUAACACUGUUUUCUACGAACCGAAGAGGCAGCUAGGGCUCAUGAUCAGUUCUCAUGUGUACUUUCAUAGGUUGUGUAAAUCAAGUCUGCAUCAUCUUCUAUACAUUGGAAUCGCAUGUGGUAAUUAUUCAUAGGUGAUGGUUAUUUUUCCCAAGUGUUCGGUAGCAAUCUCCCUCACAAAAGCUAAUAUUAGACCGGCUUCUUCCAUCAUUUCACCAAAUCCAAUCAAUUGAACAUGUUUAACGCUUGUCAAACACCAUCCCACAUUAUAUUUUGGGGAUUCCAAUUUCUUGCCCUUUCGAACAUCUUCCCUAUCUACCAAUUCGAGAUCCAAUCUCUGUAAAUUAGGAAGGUGUGCGAGCAAGUAUGGCAUGAACAACCAACCAGAAGAAUUUGCCAAAAAAAGUGACUAAAAAUUAAACUGCAUCUUCAUAAGCUACAGCUUGAUAGAGGACAAGAAAGUGUACCUUGCUGUUGGAAGCCUCUAUGAAGUUGAAAUUGAUGCCCCACAACUAGAUGUUCUUGAAAUAGAAGAAUCGGUUUUUGUGAAGUUUAAGAUUGGAAACUUCAAGCAUCUCCGAGAAGCAAGGUUUCAAAGUGGCUUCUACGAAGCAAAGAGGCAACUAGGAGAAGUGGGAGAACUUCUCGUUCUUUUGCGAGAAAUAUUUUCUACGAUUAACACAACAUCAAUAGAAACUAAAUCAUACCUUGAAAGCACCAUCUCCGACAACCAAGCAGCUAGUAGAUAUUGACGUUGUGUUAAUCGUAGAAAAUAUUUCUCGCAGAAGAAUGAUUAGUUCGCCCACUUCUCCUAGUUGCCUCUUUGCUUCGUAGAAGCCACUUUGAAGCCUUGCUUCUCGGAGAUGCUUGAAGUUUCCAAUCUUAAACUUCGCAAAAAUCGAUUCUUCAAUUUCAAGAACAUCUAUUGUGGGGCAUCGAUUUCAACUUCAUAGAGGCUUCCAGCAGCAAGGUACACUUCUUGUCCUCUAUCAAGCUGUAGCUUAUGAAGAUGCAGUUUAAUUUUUAGUCACUUUUUUUAGCAGAUUUUUCUGGUUGGUUGUUCAUGCCAUACUUGCUCGCACACCUUCCUAAUUUACAGAGAUUGGAUCUCGAAUUGGUAGAUAGGGAAGAUGUUCGAAAGGGCAAGAAAUUGGAAUCCCCCAAAAUAUAAUGUGGGAUGGUGUUUGACAAGCGUUAAACGUGUUCGAUUGAUUGGAUUUGGUGAAAUGAUGGAAGAAGAUUGAUUGGAUUUGGUGAAAUGAUGGAAGAAGCCGGUCUAAUAUUAGCUUUUGUGAGGGAGACUGCUACCGAAGAACACUUUGGAAAAAUAACCAUUACCACAUGCAAUUCCAAUGUAUAGAAGAUGAUGCAGACUUGAUUUACACGGCCUAAGAAAGUACACAAGAGAACUGAUCAUGAGGAAACACAAAUCUAUAUUGACUGUACCAGUAUUUUAGACAAAUGGCACGGUUGACAACUCUCACAUCAUUGAGGUGGUACGGCCCGUUGGAGCAUAAUAAGAGUCUAAACCGCCCCUUUUCUAGGGAUCAGGUUGAAGGUGCCUUGAAUCAAAUGUUCCCUACCAAAUCGCCAGGAGUAUAUGGCAUGCCUGCUUUGUUUUAUUAGAAGUACUGGGAUAUAGUGGCUUUCUAUGUAAAUAUUCUGAAUGAGGGAGCCAAUGUGAAGGAAGUGAACCAGACGCUCGACUCUCAUCCCGAAGGUGCACAGGCCAGUGAAGGUUACUGAGUUUCGACCAAUCAAUUUAUGCACAGUGCUAUAUAAAAUUAUAUCUAAAUCUUUGGUGAACAGAUUGAAUCCGAUCAUGCUUUUUAUUAUUUCUGAAUAUCGUAGUGCCUUUGUUCCUGGAAGGAUUAUCACUGAUAAAAUUAUAGCGGCUUUUGAGAGUAUCCAUGCUAUUAAACGGCGGGGUGGAAGUAAGCUGAAGAAGAUGAUCCUCAAGCUUGAUAUGUCAAAAGCGUAUGACCGGGUAGAAUGGGAUUUUUUAGAAGCUAUGUUCAGCAGAUUGGGUUUUAAUGCCAGAUGGGUUAACAUGAUUAUGGAUUGUAUUUCUACGGUUUCUUAUUCAAUUCAGGUGAAUGGAGAAGCUACGGGUAUGAUUGUGCCAACAAGGGGUUUGCGCCAGGGAGAUCCACUGCCCCCUUACUUGUUCCUAAUUUGUGCUGAAGGUUUAUUGGCGCUGCUGUCAAAUGCCCUCAGAUUGAAACGUAUUAAGGGGUUUCUGUGGUGCAGGGAGCUCCCAUUCUCUCCCAUUUAUUUUUUGCUGAUGACAGUUUACUUUUCUAUAAUGUGCAUUUAUCUGAAGUGUCUAAUUUGCUUCAGAUGCUCAGUGUGUACAAACAGGCAUCUGGUCAAAUGAUUAAUUUCGACAAGUCCGCUGCCUGUUUUAGUCUCAAGACUGAUCCUAUCACAAAGCAACUAAUCUCGGACAUGCUUGGGGUUAGAAUUGUGGUUUGCCAUGAGAGAUAUCUGGGGCUACCUACACUUACCCAACGAAACAAAAAUAAGAUGUUCAGCCAUGUUCAUGACAUGUGGCAGAAAUUAUCUACUUGGAAUUCAAAAUUGUUGUCAACAGCAGGUAAAGGGGUAUUUAUAAAAGCAGUGGGGCAAGCGCUACCUACUUAUACAAAAUUGUUGUCGCCUUACAUUUGCUUUUUCAAGGGCAGAGUAAAGCCCAAAGGCGAUUUACAAGAAAAGGUUAUCACUUUUCAGCUUCAACUAACUCUCAGUUGACUCAAACAAAACGACUCUGAUAAAAAAGGACAAAAGUAAACAAUUUUUUGGUGAAAUUCACAGGAAACUGGAGUGCAGUGGCAGAUUUUGAAGCGAUGGGAGGUGCCCUGGGAAUGGCAAACAGUGUCCUUAACAUCACUUGCUUGUGGACUGAGGUGGGUUCUUAGUAUUUAAUCUGCCAAUGCUCAUUUAAUCAUGUUUAAUACUGGAUUGAUAUUUCACAAUUCAAAAGAAUAAGAUUAAUUUUUUUUCCCAGGCAGUUUUAUUUUGACAGGAUUGGUAGAGACAGCAGCUGUACCGUAUUUAGGACUUCGAGUUCAAGAUUUGAGUAUAGAUGAAAAGGCAGAGAUACUGUUUCUUGAUCAAGGGUAUGUAUUAUCACAUUGUAAUUCUACUUGUAAUGCUGUGUGUUGGAUUGAGAAUUUUAUGAGGGUCUAAUGGGUUCAGUUAUUGUUUUGCUAGUAUUACAACUGCAGCUAUACUUGCAGUUUUGUAUACUGUUGCCAGCACUUUCCAACCGCUGCCUCAAGACGUUUAUCGCUGUUGUACUGAUUUUUCCAACUCCUUUUUUACUUUAUAGUAAGACAACAAAGACACAUACACACACACAGAGAGGUGAGAAAGGGUUCCUGUUAUCCCAUUUUCUUGUAGUUGUCUCAAUGAGAUAACACUUGUUGUAAUUUAUAUAUGGACUGCGAUUGAUGCACAAUACUGAAGUAGGGAUAUUUGAAUUUGGCUAGUAGGUCGUUGUAACAACAUGCUUUGUUAUUAAGUAGAGACAGACUUUUACCAUAUAGUUGCAGAAUUUAUAUUUGGAAUCUCAUCAUUGCCAGAUUCUGGUUUGUUUAAGCCUAUAUCUAGACUGUGAAGAUUUGAAGGACCCUUUCAGUCUACAGAAGGGGUGGCUUUUGUGGGCAGGGAUUGGUCUUGCUGGUGCAAUAGCUGCCAUCGCAGUGACAGAGGCUGCUGCGUCCUUGUUCAGGGGGGAGAGCCCAGAGAACGAGUUCGUACCCUAUGAUUUCUCUCUCGUUAUAAAGUGCAGCGGACACAAAUUCUAUGAUUCUUCAGGAUCAAUUCCACCAUGUAAGGAAUCAUAUAUGUGAUUUUACUUGGUUUCAGAAGGACGCUCUAGUUAGCUUGCUUCCACUGAUUGGAUCUUCAAGUGUCAGGUACUUUACAGGGUCUUUUCAUUUUUGUGCAUGUUCUGGGAAUUAUAGUAUUCAUAGGCUUAGGUGUUGAAACUUUACAGCACUAAGACUUGAGGAUUCAGCAAGUUGAUUCAGCUGUUGUUAAUCUUCAUUGCAGCACUGCUUGCUUGUUGGGCAUCACUGGGGUUUUGGCUCCAAUUCUUGAGGAAACUGUAUUUCGGGGGUUUUUUUUUAUGGUCUCCAUGACUGAGUGGUAAUUUUCCAUGUUUUCCCUUUUAUAGGUUGCAUAAUAUGCCUACAAUGAUUGAUUAUUUCUCUCUACAUUGCUCUAAACAUGCAUGGUAGCUCCCCUAAACUUCCCUACAAUUAUUUCUGAAGUUUUCUCAAUAAUUUCUGUCCAUAGAUUUUGUUAUCAAUUUUCAGAAGUUUAAACUAGUGUGUUGGAAAGUAGAGGCUGGAUUAACUAGUAAUCUGCCAUCCAGGCGAUACUGUUUGGUUCACUCCUAAAAUUGCUUUGCUUAAUUAAUUAGCCAGAUUCACAAAAUUCUACAAACAAGAGUGAAGCCUGAAGAAGUGUACAGGCUGAGAAAUAUAGGGUAGAAGAAACUGCUUUUGUGACACUUAUGUAGUAAAAAUUGCAGAAUCAUCCAAAUAUUUGAUAUAAGGUUUGUUGAGUUGGCUAAGGAUGGGAUUAAAAUUCCUUGGUUUUAGCUAGUUUUAGUAUAGUUAGUUAUGUUAUUGCUGUCAACUGUUCAUUCUUGGGUAUCUAUCCCUGACAAGUUCUUUUUGCAGGGUACCUACACCAGUUGCUAUUGGAAUAGGUGCAGCUGUAUUUGCACUUGCACAUCUCACUCCGGGAGAGUUUCCACAGCUGUUUGUGCUAGGUAAUGUGUUUACUUAAAAAAUUUAAAAACAAAAUUCUGCAUCACCUUCAACAAACGUUAAUGUGGUUUAGGUGUCCCCAAGCACAAUCUAUCUCAUGUACUGUAUGAUCUAUUUAGGCUCUGCUCUGGAAUUGUCAUAUGCUCAUACUUGCAACCUUUUAACCCCCAUCACAAUACAUGCUCUCUGGAACUCAGGAGUGAUAUUGCUUCUGACCUUCCUUCAGGUAAACAUGAUGAUUACCAAGUAUUGAAGUUAUGACCCUGUAUAAUCUUUCUCAACAAUGAUUUAUUUUCAAUGUGGAUUACUAAAACCGAUCCUGCUUCUUGUUUGUGUGACAG
rnacentral:lncRNA from 1 species